rnacentral:lncRNA from 1 species
GGGGUGCACCUGCAAAAGCGCAGGUGCGAAUCAGGCAAAGGUAGAAGCGGGCAAGGACGCAGGUGCGACACGUACGCCGCAGACGUUGGCUCGCAGAUGUGAGCCAUUUUUUGCAGAUGUGGAAGUAGGCAGCUGGGGAAAAGCCUCAUCUGCGAUUCAUUUUUCGCAGAUAUGGAGCUGCAAAAGAGGAAAUUGCUAGAGGAAGAAAUGUUCUUUUAAGACGAGACUUAGGCCAUUUUGGUUCAUUUAUUCACUUCUUGUGCAAUAUUUGAAGCUUCUUAGAGAGAGGUUUUCACCUAGCUAUUAAAGGUAAGUAAGUGCUAUCUAAUGUAAGUUAAAUACAUAAAUUAUGGGUAUAUUUUAACAUGAAAAAAUUAUGGGUAUAGAUGAAAAACCUAGGUUUUGAUAAAAAUGAGAUUUAACAACGAAAAUAAUUAUGAAAUUGGGUGAGAAUGAUAUAUUUGAGUUUGUAAGGUUAUGGGUAAUAAUUAUCUUCGAAAAUUUUCGAAAUUCGGGCACGUAAGUCAGAGGGUGAAUCUUAGGAAUCUUCCAAUUAGGGGUGGGUAAUUACCAUAAUAGUUAAAUUAUGAACUUUUAAGUAUAUAUUGACUUAUUUAUAUAAUAUUAGGCUAGUUUCAGGUUGUUUGGAACCGAGUUGAGGAUUUAAAGCGUAUUUGUGGGUCACAAGUGAUCUUAAGAACGAGGUAGGUCUCUUGUCUAACCUUGUAAGAGGAAACUCAUUCCCUUAGGUGUAUUUUGUUGUGAAUUACUUGUGUGGGAGCUACGUACGCACUAGGUGAUGAGAGUCCGUGCGUAGCUACUAAUUUUCUUAUGUCCGGGUAGUUUUAGGUUUACAUCAUGCCUUAAUUGUACUAUGUCCGGGUAGUCUUAGGUUUACAUCAUGCCUUAACUGUACUAUCAUAUUUGUUAUGCAUAUUAAUUAUCUUGAAUAGAGAUGCGACUAGAUUUUAAAGUUGGAAACUUCCAAGUUAGAUUUCUUAUUUAGGGGAAAUAAAUAAAGAAUAUUUAGUAACUAUGAGAAAUCCAUGUCUUGUCACGUCACAAGUACUUCUGCAAGCGAGGUAAGCUUCUCUUUUGUCAUGGGAGCGGGCCGUUCGCUUCGGAAAUUUAAUAACUGCAUCUAUGCUUCGUGUCGUUCGACCCUUGGCAAUGCACAUAGUAUAAUUUUUGAUCGUGCCGUAAGAUUUUAGCAUAAAUUAUGCGUGAUAAUACUCAAACCCUUAUUCCGCUUGAUAUUGUUUUAUGGCUUGAGAGGCUAUAAUUUAUUUAAUGAUAGAAAUUUAAUUGGGAUUAGUAUAUGUUGGCUAGAGAUUUUUUGGAAUUUAUUUUUCAGUUAAGGAACCAUUUAUUCACUGCUUAUUAUUAUUAUUAUUAUUAUUAUUAUUAUUAUUAUUAUGUUGUUGUUGUUGUUGUUGUUGUUGUUGUUGUUGUUAUUAUUAUUAUUAUUAUUAUUAUUAUUAUUAUUAUUGGGUCUAUGUAGUAGCUAAAGAAAUUCUUGCUAUAGUUAGAUGUGUUACGAAAUUUCAAACUGAUUUAUACAAUAAGAAAUUCUUGAUUAAAAUUGAUUGUCAAGCUGCAAAGUUUAUCUUUAAUAAAGAUUUUAAACAUGAUGUUUCAAGACAGAUGUUUGCAAGGUGGCAAGUUUUAUAGCCCCUUUUGAUUUCGAAAUAAUAUACAAAAAAAGGUCUGAUAAUAUUCUUCUUGAUUUCCUUACAAGAGAAUAUUUGAACUAUUAUUAUUAUUAUUAUUAUUAUUAUUAUGAUGAUGAUGAUGAUGAUGAUGAUGAUGAUCAUCAUCAUCAUCAUCAUCAAGUUACAUACUUGUUUAGAAUUUCUCCAUUUUAUUAUUGGCCCAUAGUCAGUGUUGAUGUCGGUCCCUCGUCACAAUUUCUCCACUUCUGCACUAACUUGUGCAGGAUCUAAAGUAGGUGCAUGUAACGACCCGACCGGUCGUUUUUAGCUUUUGCACUUUGAUCGCCAGUUCUCGGGUAUGAAUUUCCCCGUGUAAUGUAUUAUGACUGAUGUAGAUCAUUGGUUUUGGUUUUCGUGAAACAUUUGGAAUGAAUUUGAAAGAACAAUCUCAGUUGAAAGCUUUGAAUUUGAAAUGUUUGACCAAGAUUUGACUUAUUUGGAUAUGAGCCCGGAUCGGAAUUUUUAUAAUCUGGUUAGUUUUGUUGGGUGAUUUAUGACUUAGGAGCGUGAUCGGAAUUGGUUUUAGAAGUCCGGGGUAGAAUUAGGCUUGAAUUGGCAAAGUUGAUAUUUUGACGAUUUCCGGUUGGUAGAUGAGAUUUUGAUCCGAGGGUCGAAAUGGAAUUAUGAGAUUUUCAGUAGCUUCGUUAUGUCAUUUGGGAUGUGCGUGUAAAAUUUCAGGUCAUUUGGAUGUGGUUUGGUCGGGUUUUUGAUCGAAAGUGUAUUUCAGAAGUUUUUGGAAACUUAGGCUUGAAUUCGAUGAGUUUUGGAUAAUUUGAUGUUGUUUGAGGUGUUUUGAUGAUUGGAACUGGUUUGAAUAAUUUAAUGGGAUACGUUGGCAUAUUUAGUUGAGGUCUCGAGGGCCUCGUGUGAGUUUCGGGUGGUCAAUCGGACCACUUUGUGCCUUAAAAGAUAGCAGAAAAUUUGCAGGUUCAGAGUUGCAGGAUUUUUGUUCUCUGCGAUCGCAUAAGAAACUUAGGCUUGAAUUCGAUGAGUUUUGGAUAAUUUGAUGUUGUUUGAGGUGUUUUGAUGAUUGGAACUGGUUUGAAUAAUUUAAUGGGAUACGUUGGCAUAUUUAGUUGAGGUUGAGGUAGUUUUAGGUGGGUGGUCAAUCGGACCACUUUGUGCCUUAAAAGAUAGCAGAAAAUUUGCAGGUUCAGAGUUGUAGGAUUUUUGUUCUCUGCGAUCGCAUAAGAGGUCUUGCAAUCACAUAAGAGUAUCUUUGGGGGUUGUUCUAUUGUUCAUUGCAUUCGCAUAGUAUAGCUUGCGAUCACAUAGUUUGGGGAAAUUGUUCUUCGGCGAACGCGGUUGAGGCUUCGCGAUCGCACAGAGUAAAGUUGACCUGAGGUCUUAGUUGGGUUUUUUUCAUCAUGAACGCGGCCGCGACCGCAUAGAAUUAUUUGGGCAGUGCAUUGCGAUCACAUUGUGUUUGGUGCAUUCACAUAGAGUUAAUUUUGGAAGCUGAAGAUUUGUUCUUCACGAUCGCGAGGAAUGUUCAGCGAUCGCAUAGAAGAAAAUACCCUUGGGCAGAAUGUUUUUAAAAUCAUCUUGUUCACGAAUGUGGGUCUAUUUGGCUGCUCAUUUUUGGAGAAUUUUGAAGGAAAAUAAGGAGGGAUUCAAGAGGAAUCGACUUAAGUUAAGAAUCUUGGUCUUAAUACUUGAUUAUAUUGUGAUAUCCACCUAGAAAUUCAUGAAAAUUGAAGAACUAGGGCUUGAGAUUUUGAAAUUCUAUUUAAGGAUUUGAAAGAUCAUUAGAGGUCGGAUUUGUGAACUUUUGGUAUGUAUGAACUCAUAAGGAGAUAAAGAAUCUAUUGAUGUGAACUUUUUUGAGUUUCGAGAAGUGGGCCCAGAGCUCGGGUUUUGGUAAUUUCGGGAUUUAUGCCCGUUAUUGAUUGUUUUCGCUUGGGUUUUGUUCCCUUAGCAUAUUGUGAUUUAUUCACUCUGAUUUUGGAUAGAUUCGACGUGUGUGGAGGCUGACUUGAGGGGCAAAGGCCUUGCGAGCUAGAGAUUUCGCCGGUUGGAGGUGAGUAAUGAUUGUAAAUGAUGUUCUGAGGAUUCGAGACCCCGGAUUGCACAUCGUAGUGUAUUGAGGUGACUUGCACGCUGGAUAGCGAGCGUGGGGCAGAGCACCUUUGGGAAUUGCGACUUGGUCCGUCCCGAUUGAUGAUUUUACCGUGUAUUUGACUUAAACUUAUUUGUUAUCAUCAUGACUUGGGUUGAUUGUCAUAUUUGGGCUUUGUGCCAGCUAUUUGAACCCUUUCGGGGAUGAUUGUUGAUAUUUCCUCACUGUUUUGAGUUUAUACUUUAACUCAGUCAUGUAUUUUCCACUAUUUUCAAAACUCAGCCAAGUUUACUUUGCUUUAACACUUGAAAUGAUAUUUCUAACAAUAUUUAUGGGCUGAGCAUCAUGUUUUACUGUUGCCUGAGAGGCUUAUGUAAUUUUUGACUGAGUAAGGCCAAGGGCUUGUGUUGUGAGGAAACUUUUGGAUCGAGCUGCAUGCCGCAGUAGUGAGAUAGUGAUACUGAUACGAGGCUGAAGACGUAAAUUUGAUGCCACGAGAUAGCUUGAUAUUGUGCUUGGGCCGUAAGGGGAACCUUCCGGAGUCUACACACCCCCAGUGAGUGUCGUCGAUGAUAAAUGGAUGGGGCUGCACGCCGCAACAAUAUAUGGAUCGGGAUGCACGCUGCAGCGGUACCAUUUUAUGUGUUUACUCAUUUAUUUGUCUGUCAUUAUCUGUUGUUGUGCUAUUUCAUGUGAUAUCUUUCUAAUUGCCUGGCAUUUUCUAUUGAGUGAGUUUUGUGCCCGAAUGGCGGAUCUCUAUGGUUAUCUACACAAAUUGUUUGCAUUCAUUUGCAUAACUGUUUGACAAGGGCAUUUUCAAAAGAGAUUUAAACUAGGUUAAGAUGUUUUUUAAAGAUUUCACAGCUUCAUUGCUUUUCUCUAGGGGUUUUAUACUGCUUCUAUACAUCAUGAUGAUUUGCCUUACGUGAUUCUCUUACUACUCAGUUAUUUAUUUACUCAGUGAGUUGGAGUACUCACUUUACUCCCUGUAUCUUGUGUGCAGAUGUAGGUAUUUGUUCACCCGGUAGCAGAUUUUGGGCUGAUCGGAGGAUAAGUUACCGGAGUUUAGCGAGGUGACUGCCAGCGUUCGUAGAACCACAUUUUUUCCUUUGUUUAUUAGUCCUAUUUUUUUUUGUAUUUUAGACUCUGUAGUUGUAUUCAUAUAUUCAUAGAUGUUCGUGACUUGUGACACCUUGGUUUAGGCUGUGUUGGGUUGUACUCCCACUAAUUAUUAUUAUCAUUAAAUCAUAUUUAAACUGCUUAUGAACUAUUUAAUUGUUCAAAAGGGUGAAUUGGGUUUAGUUGGCUGGCCUUGUCCCCAUGAGAGGCGCCAUCACUACCGUGUCCGCAUUUGGGUCGUGACAGUGCAUCGAGUAGUCCUCCGAUGCGCACCCUUGAUACUCCGAGACUUAGUGGUGAGAUGACUUCCGAGUCUGUUCUGUAGCACCUUAAGUCUCUAUUUUGUAUUUGCAUUCUGUCUACUCUAGUUCAGACAAUAAUUCAGUGUUGUAUAUUCGACUAGUAGCUCAUAUACUUGUGACAUCAGGUCUUGGAAUUAUGCUAGUAGAUUUUAUCACACUUGUUCUUAUAUUUGAUUAUACUUUAUUUUAUUAAAUUUUUCACCCUCUUAUUUAUUUAACAAUAAAAAAUCAACUAUUUUCAAAAUGUUAAAAAGAAUAAAUACAUGGCUAGUUCACCAUUGGCUUACUUAACGACGACGUUGGGCGUCAUCACGAUCUAUAGGGAAAAUUGGUUCAAGACAAUUUAUCUCUCAAAUUUUUGUAUUCAUUACUACAUGGUAAAAGAGAGUAUUAAAGAACGAAGGGUGAUUCCGUACCGUUUCAUUAUCUCAUUUACUGAUUAAUACAUAGCGAGAAAGAGAAUUAAAACGUGAAGGGUGAUGUUGUGCCAUCUAUAUCAUUAAUUCAUAGUUAUAUGCUGAGAUUGAGAGCAAAAGCACGAAGGUUAAUGUCGUGCCCUCAAUAUCAAUUAUUCAUUGCUACAUGGGCAAAUUGAGAGUAAAAGUACAAAGAGUGACGGCGUGUCAUUUUAUUUUACUUAUGUCAUAAUUUCAUGGUAAGGAUGAGAAUAAAAGCAUGAAGGGUGAUGCCGUGCCAUCUUAUACCGUAUGUUCUAUCUUCAUUGGCUAAUGAGUUAUUUGGCUAUCUUGUGAGGUCAUAUCCGUCAUAGUCAUCGUAUCUUUUCCCCCUUCGCAUGUCCCCUCCCAAUUGUACAUUGUUAAAUCUCGGUUCUGUUGUUAUUUUGUACAUAUAUAUGUGAACAACUAUUUUUUACCACACCCAAAAUCUAUUAUAUUUUAGUGUAAAUAUUUCUUUUAAGUCUAAUUUAAUAUUUUAAAAUUUUUGAUCUUACUCUUAAUAUAUUUUAUUUAAAAAAAUAAUUAAAAGAAACUACAAAAACAUUUAGAUACUUAUAGUACAAAUUUGAUUUCUAUUUGUAAAGAAAAAAAUAUUUACAUAUACAUACAUAUAUAUAUAUAUAUACAUAUACAUACAUAUAUAUAUAUAUAUAUAUAUAUAUAUAUACAUACAUAUAUAUAUAUAUAUAUAUAUANNNNNNNNNNNNNNNNNNNNNNNNNNNNNNNNNNNNNNNNNNNNNNNNNNNNNNNNNNNNNNNNNNNNNNNNNNNNNNNNNNNNNNNNNNNNNNNNNNNNNNNNNNNNNNNNNNNNNNNNNNNNNNNNNNNNNNNNNNNNNNNNNNNNNNNNNNNNNNNNNNNNNNNNNNNNNNNNNNNNNNNNNNNNNNNNNNNNNNNNNNNNNNNNNNNNNNNNNNNNNNNNNNNNNNNNNNNNNNNNNNNNNNNNNNNNNNNNNNNNNNNNNNNNNNNNNNNNNNNNNNNNNNNNNNNNNNNNNNNNNNNNNNNNNNNNNNNNNNNNNNNNNNNNNNNNNNNNNNNNNNNNNNNNNNNNNNNNNNNNNNNNNNNNNNNNNNNNNNNNNNNNNNNNNNNNNNNNNNNNNNNNNNNNNNNNNNNNNNNNNNNNNNNNNNNNNNNNNNNNNNNNNNNNNNNNNNNNNNNNNNNNNNNNNNNNNNNNNNNNAAAACUACCAUAUAUAUAUAUAUAUAUAUAUAUAUAUAUAUAUAUUGUUGUUGUUGUUGUUAAUCAGAGUUAGUUAAUUAAUAUUUUUAUCCAAAUAUUUUUAUUGAGCACUCACCCCAUGACUCAUAUGCACCUCCAUAUUCAUGUGACAUACUCUCACAAAAGAUAAUAAAAUGAUAACUAACUCCUUAAUUCCCUUUCCCUUUGUUGGAUUUAUUUUUUAUUUGGUCGCGGGUUGCUCUAUGUGUGAUGAUCUAAUCCAUUUAUGAAUUUAUAAGAAUAAAUAAUCUCUUAUGAGAAAUUAUUUCACACGUUUUAAUUUUGUGACAGCAUAUUUUACACGAUUAUUUUUUUCUCGUGGGAGGAAACAAUUUUUCUUUCUUAACCCUAAAUAAAAGGAAAUAUGCUACUCUUGAAAGAGUUGUAGAAGAAGAAGAAAAAUAUAGAAAACUAAUCUCCUUUCUCUCAUAAGAAAUACACAGAGGAUACUUAGUUUGUGAAAAGUAUUUCGUUUCCAAAAAAGACGAAAUCGAACUUGAGCAAUUUGAUCAAAGAUUUUCCUUUGCCGCUUAGAUGGCAUUAUGUAUUUGCCUAUUUGCCAAAGUUUAAUGGGUCCUGUAAGGCACUAUAAACGUAGUUUCUAUGGUAAUUAUGAAUUCUACAAUUUUCCUUUCCUUAUCUUGUUGAGGAAUAAUAUAAGACUUCAAUCAUAUGUACAUCUGGUUAACAAAAUCAUUUAUCAACAUAAUCUAAUUGCUUGAUACUAGUUAAUGGUAAGUGCUUUACUCUUAGUUGUUGUCAAAGCCUUACUAUUAAUGAUAUCUUGACAUUAAGUAAUUGGAGAAUUAUUUCAUUAAAUUUGUACCAACAUUUCUAUUAGGAGGAAACAGAUAGUGUGCCAAUAUUGAAUAGAAAUAAUAUUGGAGUCAACUUCUUUAAUUGUUCUAAUUUUCAAUUCGGCAGUAAACUGUGAAUAUAGAAUCAAUGGCAUGAAAUUAACUGCAAUAGAGUUUUUUUCCAUGGUCUUUAAUAUAUUAAGAAUUGACUUGUGUAUAACUCCUGAUUUCUUAAAUAAUUCUAUUUUGGUUAGUCCUAAUCCCUUAAAUUAAUAUCCUUCUACUAGUAAUUGUGAUACGGGUUGUCACAUUGAAUAGUUGUAGCAAUUCCAAAGUGUUUCCUUGGUCCUAUUUCAGAUAUGACUGAAGAAGGACAAGUACGAAUUACUCCAAGUGGGAGUUCUCGAAGUCAAGGAAGAGGACAACAUAGAAGGGUACGUCGCCGCAUGACUUAUUUCUAUAAUAAUUCAUCGGAGCCUGAAGUUAUCAGAAAUAUCCCAAGGGCGAGACAAAAUCGGUUAAUGAAUCGAAGGGUUGAACGAAGGGAAAGAGAAAAGAAAUUUAGGGAAUUUAAAAUGUGCCCUGAUGUUUCAGUUCAUGAACAUGUACACAUCUUUAAGAUAAAAAGAGCUGGAUUAGCUAAUUACGUAAAAAAUUUUGAUUAGGAAGCAUUAGCUAUUUCAGCGGACUCUCUUCGAGAACCUUGGCGUGAAAUUUUAACUUAGAUUUAUCAUGAUGGUUGUCCUAGUGCACCUUUUAGCGUAUAUGAGCAAGAGUUAGUGUUCGAUUCGUAUAUGGAUGUCCUAGCAAAUAUGUAAAUUGUUAUUAUGUUUUAAUGAAAUUUUUAUUAUGAUUUUUGUCUCACUAGUUACAUACAUUGUUUAUUAUAUCCUUUUGUAAUAGACUGAGACUUAAGAUGUGUACUAAGAAGUGAUCUUAGUAUUAAUUAAAAAUAUUAAGAUAUAGAUGAUGAAUGGAAAUGUAGUGAUUGUUCGAUUCUAUACUAAAUAUAGAAUUAAUAUUAUAAUUAAUUUUUUUGAGUGUGUAAUCACAUGCAUAUAUUAAUUGAAGUAUAUAUUGAUGAGCUAAACUUAUAAUAUUGUCUCUAAUAACAGAUAUGGCAUCAAAAAUAAUCAUUGCUGACUUGAAUAAGGGGGACAAACUAAAUGGUAAAAAUUACAAUAUCUGGAGUCGUAAGAUGUGGUAUGAACUCGAAGAGCAAGAUGCUUUUGAAACUAUUAAUCAUGUUAUGAGUCACCCAGAGGAGGGUAACACUGCCCAACAAAGGAUGAUCUGGAAACUUACAAUGUUUGGAAAAAGAAAGAUUCCAUUGCACGUGAAAUUAUUGUAAGUUCAGUUGCUGAUGAUUUCAUCCACGAAUAUGAGCAAUAUCCUACUGCUCAAGCCAUGUGGGCACAUUUAAGUGAGGCAUAUGGGGGUAUGACUGUGACUCGCCUUCGACAGCUGACAAUCAAGUUUGACACGUAUAAAAAGCAUUAUGAUCAUGGUGUUAAGCAACAUCUAAGGGUGAUGUCAAAUAUGAUUGCUCAACUCAAAAAUGUUGGCCAUGUUCUCUCUGAUGAGCAGCAUCUUCAGGCUUUGAUUCGGUCUCUUCCCAAUAAUUGGGAACAUUUGAAGGUUAACUUGACCCAUAAUGAUAGUAUCAAAACUUUUGGUGAUGUUGCAUGUCAUAUAGAGCUUGAAGACGAGCGGCUUGGUGCUGCUAAAGCUGUAUCUAAUGCCUUUGUGGCAGAAUCAAGUGGUACAAAGAGAUCAAGCUUCAAGCGCAAGAGAAACUGAAAAAAUGACAAAAAGGGUAAGAUGACUGGAGAAGGACCCUCCAAGAAAAAAAAAGCCAAAUUCCAAAAAAGGAAAACGAUUCUACAAGAAGAAAGACGAUGGUAAGAUGAAGUGUUACAAUUGCCAAGUUCCAGGGCAUUUUGCUCGUGAGUGCACGAAAUCGAAAAAAGUAGCAUUUCAAAAUGCAUCUCUUAGUGCUAUAAAUGUUUCUAACUGUUUUGCUAACUGAAUCUUAUCCUGUGUGAAUUAUAGACUCAGGGGACACCGACCAUGUGAGCCGCGAUAGAGAAGCGUUUAUAGAGUUUUGUGGAGUUCCACCUGGAUCAAAGCAUAUAUAUAUAUAUAUACAUAUAUACAUAUAUACAUCAAUACUUACAAUGAUCAGUCUACACAUAGCAGUAGUGUGUGUGUGUGUGUGUGUGUGUGUAUAUAUAUAUAUAUAUAUAUAUAUAUAUAUAUGUAUAUAUAUAUUGGAAAUAAUGCUAAGCUUGAAUUCAAAGGAAUAGGCACUUGCAGAAUGGGCAUGCGUGGUGGCCGAACUUUGAUGUUGCAUGACGUCCUAUAUGUUUCAGAGAUUCGACGAAACUUAGUAUCCGUGUCUGUUAUUCUAGAUUUAGAUUUCAAUUUGAACUUUAGUCGUAGUGGUCUAAAAAUUACUCAAGAAAAUACUUUUUUAUGGUUUUGAACAUCGUUAUGAUGGUUUUAUUGUGUUAGAUUGUAAUCCUUCUACAUAUAAUUAUUAUAUUGACCGUUGUGUUAUGGCAUGUUAUUCUAGUAACAAUGAUGUUGAUGUUACUACGUGGCAUGCAAGAUUAAGUUACAUAGGCCAGGAUCAAGUGAGUAGAUUGGCUAAGGAAGUACAUCUAGUUCCUUUCUCUAAAAUUAAAUUGCCAACUUGUGAAAAUUGUCUUGCCGGAAAGAUUACACGUAAACCAUUUGGAAAGUCUGUGAGAGCUUAUUUUCCAUUGCAACUAAUCCACUAUGAUAUUUGUGGUCCAAUGAAUGUGAUGGCUAGGUCUGGUGCUUUAUAUUUCAUUACGUUCAUUAAUGAUUUCAGACGCUUUGGUUAUGCCUAUUUGAUCUCUCAUAAAUCUGAAGCACUUGAAUGCUAAGAAAUAUGUGAAUGAAGUUGAGAACUAAUUAGACAAAAGGAUUAAGAUCUUAAGAACCGAUAGAGGGCGUGAAUAUCUUUCAAAAAAAUUUGAAGGAUUGUGCAAUGAAAAGGGAAUCACCAGAUAGUUAAUUAUCCCAUACACACCUCAACAAAAUAGUGUAGCUAAAAGGAGGAAUAAAAUACUACUAGAGAUGAUAAGUUCCAUGAUGGCUCAUACAAAUUUACCUAUCUCCUUUUGGGGAGAUGUGUUAUUGACUGCAACUUAUAUAUUGAACAAAGUACUUUCUAAAUCAGUUUCUUCCACUCCUUAUAAGCUAUGGACUGGUCACAAAUCAAACUUAAAGGAUUUAUGACUUUGGGAUUGUGCUAUAUAUGUAAAAGAUUAUUUUAGCAAGUUUGGUAAAUUAGGUCCAAAAGGCAAGAAAUAUAUCUUUAUAAGAUAUUCAAAACACUCCAAAGGGUAUGUGUUCAUUGAUGAAUUAGAGGAUAAAAGUUUUACUGAGAUUGAAUCGUGAGAUGUCACAUUUUUGGAAAAUGAUUUUCCAAAGAAGGGUGAGGUAAAUAAUGGAGAGCCUCUUUAUGAAAUGUUGAACUGAGAUAGUCAGCAAGUGUCUUCUGUCACAGUUGAUAAUCAAAUUGAUCAAGAUCUUAUUUUUGAUCCGAGUGAGAGUGGGAACUCUCAAUCCUAAAAUCCUUCUGGAAAACCUGAAUUUCAACUGCGAAAGAGUGCCAAAAGAAAUAUUCCCAAAUGUACUUGUGAAAUUGAAGAUUGUAUUUUCUUGAUAUCUCCUAUAGAAAUGGAUGAGCCAAAGUCUGUGACUGAGGCAUUAUCGAACCCUGGAAAAGAUUGGUGGAUGAAAGCAAUAAAAUGAAGAAUUAGAGUCCAUAAAAACUAACAAAGUUUGGAAUCUAGUUGAUCUUCUGCGAGGCAUAGAGCCAUUGGGAACAAAUGGGUUCUCAAAGUUAAACACAAAAUGGAUGGGUCAAUAGAAACAUACAAGGCACGAUUGGUGGCAAAAGGCUUUACUCAAGAAGCUGGAAUAGGUUAUGAAGAAACAUUUUCACCAGUUAUGAUGUUUACCUCAAUUCGCUUACUUUUGGCUAUUGUUGCACGUUUGGAUUUGGAAUUACAUCAAAUGGAUGUGAAGACAACUUUUCUCAAUGGAGAACUAAACGAAGAGAUCUACAUGGAACAACCGGUAGGAUUCAUCGUUAAAGGCCAAGAAAAGAAGGUUUGUAAAUGGCCUGAAGCAAUCUUCAAGGCAAUAGUAUUUGAGAUUUCACAAGAAGGUGAUCUCAUAUGAUUUCACCAUGAUCAAUAAAGACCAUUGCAUUUAUGUGAAGAAGUCCAAUGGAAUAUUUAUAAUUCUUUCUCUUUAUGUGGACGAUAUUUUAUUGGCUGGAAAUAAUUUAGAGUAUUUGAAAACUAUCAAGUCAUGGCUUUCAAAGCAUUUGACAUGAAAGAUAUGGGCGAGGCAAACUAUAUCCUUGGAGUUAAGAUCCAAAGAGACCGUUCCAAAAAGUUAUUGAGUCUAUCUCAAGAAACUUAUAUAAAGAAAAUUUUGGAGCAUUUUCACAUGAAUGGUUGCAAAUCUAUGGAUACUCCAACAGUGAGAGGUGAAACUUUAAGCCUUGAAAUGUGUCCUAAGAUUGAAAAUAAAAAGGAAAACAUGUCUCAAAUUUCAUAUUCAAGUGCUAUCGGGAGCUUGAUGUAUGCUAUAAUGUGUACUCGCCCAAACAUUUGUGCUGCCGUAGGUCUGGUUAGCAAGUAUCAACCCAAUUCUAGAAGAGAUCAUUGGAAAGCUGUGAAGAGAAUUUUCAGAUACCUAAAGGGAACUGCAGAUUAUUCAUUAUGUUAUAGUAGAAAUGAUUUAUACUUGAGAGGAUAUACAGAUGCUGAUUGGGCUAGUGAUCGGAAUGAUAGAAAAUCAACAUCCGGUUAUGCUUUCUUACAUAACGAUGGUUCUAUAUCAUGGAAAAGUAAGAAACAAACCUGUACAACCCUUUCAACGAUGGAAGCUCAGUUCGUGGCUUGUGCAUCUACAGUACAAAAUGUUGUUUGGUUGAAGAGAUUCUUUGAGCAUUUAGAUAUAACAAAGAACUCUCAGGGUCCGAUAACUCUAUAUUGUGAUAGUCAAGCGGCUAUUGCAUAUAUAAAAGAUUCAAAGUAUCACAGUAAAACCAAACACAUUGACAUCAAGUAUAACUUUGAUAACCAGCCAUAAAAUUCAACCGAAAAUUAUAAUAAUCCUAAACACCAGUAAAACACCAGGUGAAGCAUAACUAUUUGGUUUCCCGUCGAGGUUUAUGGAGCAGCGAAGUUGUUAUAUUUCAUGUUUUCGUACGUGUAAGUGCGCCAUAAAUAAAUUGAUAUAAGCUAAAAAAUGAUAUAUUACAUUUCGUAUUUUUGUACGUUAAAGUUUCAUAAUAAAUUAAUCGAAGUAAGUUUGGGAAUGAGAUUAUUUUGAGAUUAUAAGUAUUAUGCUAUUUCAAACAAGUGAUGAGUAAAUUCGUAAAGGUGAGAGGAUAACCAAAUCAAAGAAGAUGAAUUUUUUUCAAAGUUUGACAAGUUAGCUAAAAUACUGUCCGAGUUAAAAUACUCGAUAUUUAUGGACUAAUAUUAUAUAAAAUACUACAUAACCAUGAUAGUAAAAUAUAUAAAGUGUGUUAAAAGUUAAAUAGUAUUUUGUGUAAUUUAAAAUAAUUUUUAAUUAUAUAAAUAAUUGGUUAAUUGUUGAAUUAGUAAAAAAUUACCAAGUUAAUAGGUAAUUAAUUAAGACAUUUUGAAUUAUCUUUUGGACGGAGUCUUGAAAUUCAACGUGGCAGCAACACAAGAGUGAACAAGUGACUCUUAAGUGAUUAGGAUAGGUGGCACAUUAAGGGGUCUUUGGGUAAGAUUUAUCCCCAAAUUUUUUUAAAGAGAAUUAAGUAAGAUAUAUUAAUUCAUGAAAGUUCAAAGAAGAACCAACAGAGUUAUAUUAAUGUUGUAGGUGAUUUUAUAUCGUUUUAAUAAUAAUAAUUAUUAUAUAACGAGGAAAAUUAAUUGUUAAUUAAUAAGGAUUAGAUCACGAUGCCAUUAGUUUUUUUGAAUAAAACACGUGAAUGACGAUUUGUUCUUUUAUUCUUUAAAGAUUUCGUGUUUCUAGUUGUGAUUUGUUGAGGUAUUCUAAUUCUUAAUUAUUUUAUUACAUAGAUAAUGCUGAAAUUUAUUUUAGCACACUUGAAAAUUAUUAACAUCUUAACAAUAAAGAGAGAUGGUGAUUUAGGACGUAUAGGUGAUAACCAAUUAUUUUAUUACAUCGUCAUCUGUCUAUAACUAAUUUGCACUUCUUUCACAAAUAGUUUUAUAAUUUAUGUCCUCGCAAUAAUUUUAAAUUAGCUUAGAAAAAUAACUUAUGAGUACGUUAGUAUGUUUUCGGAGCACACUUUUAAUUAAAUUAUCGUGAUUAUGCACACGUUCAAGUAACAUAGUUAUAAUUUUUUAAAUUAAAGGUAAAAUAUGCGUUCACACGACUUUGAUAAGAUAAUUAUAAGAAUUAUAAAGUAUUAUUAAUUGUAUAUACAUACACAUGACAAGAUUCUUGACAUACCAAAAAAUAAAUAUACGUACACGUGAUUCGUUUUCAGAUAAUUUCAUAAUCACAAAUAAUCAAGCAAUUAAAUGUGAUUUAAGGCAAAAGUGCAAAAAUUUUCCGACAACAUAAAGUAUCUAGAGUUAGUUAAGAGAGAUAUAAUUAUUAAUGCGACCGUUCUAGAACCACGGAACUUGACAGUACUUCACAUUUUUUUCUGGGUUAACAGAAUUCCUUACAUGGUCUUCUAUAUUUCACAGACUUAAACAUAGUCAAUUUUCGUGAAUUGGGAUUUUAAAAUAAAUAGUGACUUAGGAUACCUAAAAUAUUUAUUUCAAGUGGCGACUCUUUAAAAUAAAACAAAUUAAUCUAUUUUUCAAAUAAUGUCACUUAAAUUGAAAAAACUCAUUUCUUUCCAUAACUUUCCGGAAAAAAAGAAAUGUGACAGUCUGGCUACGCUGUUGGGGAACAUAAAUAUAUAACUUCUGGUUUAGGGUUUAGAAUUCAAGCUUGUAAUGUGAUAUAUAGUUGGCAUUAUUGAUUGGAUGUAAUUACUGCAUUUGUGGGCCUAAUGUGCUAAUUGCCACUUAUUUACUGCUUUGAUAUUAUUUUAACUGUAUUAAAUUGUCUUCUUAUGCCUCCUUUUGAGUCUUUUGAAUUUAUAGUGCACACGUGCAUAUGGCCCAUUUUUCUAUUAGAGGUAGUACCUAUAUUAGAACGGGGUUAGUUCAAUAACUAGGUCGGGUAGACUUUUGUGCUCCUGGUACGUUGCUCCUACCUCGGCUCGAGCUUUUCGUUUGAGUAAGUUAGGUCUAACACACUUCUCAUAGGAUUUAAAUCUAGAAUAACAUAGCUUCAUGGGGGAUCUCUAGUAGGAACAGUUGUUUUCAUCAUGUACAUUUAAUUUUGCGGACUCAGCACAAGGGUUGAGUCCGUCUAGGACAGGUGACUAGAGAAUUACAAGACCAUCCUGAUGCAUCUUAUGUUCUACAUGUACAUUAUGUUUGAUUCAGUUUAUGCAUAUUGAUCGACUUUUAAAAAAAAUAAAAAUAAAAAUUGAGAGAAAAGAAGAAGGAAGAAAAUAGGGGAGAGAAAAUUUACACGAUUUUUGAAAAUUCUUGGUGUUUGAAAAUUCAAAAACCGUGUCAAAAUUUUACCCCAAACAGAUUAUUACAAAAUAAGCUUGAAUUUUUCAAAAAGUUUCAUCCCAUUCCUGAAAUAUUUACCGAAAUACACUGGUUUAAUUCUCAUCGCAUGUGAAAUAGUAGGCAACCCUCAUCAGGUCUGGUCCCCUAAUUUUCAAAAAAAAAAAAGAAAGAUAUAUUUUAUUUUUUUCUUUAGAAGUCUUUCUUUAAAAAACUUUCACAGAAAAAAAAAAAGUUAGUUUAUUUACUUUAUUCUUCAUCUUUUAAAAGUACGUAAUAAUCUGAUUUAUGCAGCAUCAUGAUACGUAGGAAAUCUCCAUCGAAUGCGAUCAUAGCCAAAAAUAAACUGGUGAAAAACAAAAAAAAAAGCUAUGUGAAAAACAAAAAAAAAAAAAAGAGAAAAAGAAAGCGACGAACCCAGAAUGUUAAAAUCAAAAGACAAAAAAGAAACGGGAAAUGAAAGAAACAAGGUAUAGAGUGGAAAAGGGUUAAUUAAAAUCGGGAUGAAACUCGCAACCGUUCAAAUACAUGAUAAAAAUAUUUAAUUGUCGGGUGCAUUUAACAAAUGCUUUGAACUAAUAAAUUUGUUGUGUCUGCCCAAAGCUUAAGUUCUGUUUCAGGUGAAUGGUUUUGUUGGUACCAUGUGUCUGCCCAACGUCGCUAGACAAGCCAGUGGUGAAUUAGCAUGUUUUUAUUCUUUAUUAUAAUUUCAAGGCGGUUGAUUUUCAAUUUAUUAAAUAAGUUAUUAGUGAAAAUUCAUAGUAAAGUAAAGCACAAAAUGUCGAAAGAGUAAAUACAGUGAAUUCAACACUCAAAACCAUAGGUGUCUACUAUAAUAUUCUUAGAACUCAGUAUCACAAGUGUACGAGCAACUAGAAAAAUAUAAAAAACCAUCUAAAUUAUUGUCUGGAAUAGGAUAGAUAGAAAAUAAAUAUAAAACAGAGACUACAGGUGCUGCAAAACCUACACAAAGAGUAGCUCACUAUUAUUCCUCGGGGUAACAAGGGUAUGCGCUUGAAUUACUACCAGAUGCAUUUGGCUCAAAUCCUGCACUAUUAGUACAGAAGUAUAGCGUAAUUACAUAAAUAACGUAUACCCAGUAAAUAUUUACUCUAACCUUAAAGAAGUUGUGACGAGGGAUUAACAUUGAUAUUUACUAUAGGCCUAUAAAUAAGUGCAAAAAUUCUAAAUAAGGUAUGGAAUACAUCAAUAAUCAUAACGCAAUAAUGAACAGUAAAUGAGUGAUUCUAUAGCUAGAUGUCGAUUUAAGAUUUCCCCUUAACACAUACUAACUUCAACAAAUAUGAACUAUCAAGUAAAUUAUAAAGUCUCAAGUCAUGGAGGUAAUAUUAAGUAUAAUCGGACUACGAUCAUUAUUACGUACGAUUUAUGUAGAGGUCCUAAAGUCCGAUCAAAAAUAAUAUGUACACUGUCGAGGGCUAAUUGACACGAAUCGUCGAUGUAUCUAUUAUACCGCCGAGGCAUUCGGUCCGCUGCACAAGAAGAGGGAGUACUCUACUAACUCUGAUUAAACGGUUAUCACAAGACUAAUACAUAAAUAUGCACAAUUUCUACUAAAGUUCGGUCUUUACGAAUCCUUUAUCAAGUUUCAAGAUAAUUUAAGCACUUAAAUUAACAAGUAGAGUGCAAAUAAUACAAGUAUUUCAUGAUAGGAUCCUAAAAGUACCCGGACAUACAUGAUUUGUAGUUGCGCAUGGAUUCUCAAUACUUUGUACAUACAUAGCACCCAUAUUAGAAGCAAAUAGUAAUUUAUAAUACUUAUGGGAUAAACUCCCCCUUACAAGGUUAGGCAAGAGACUUACCUCGUCCUCAAGCUCAGUUUUUGGUCCACAAAUUCGCUCUAAAAGCCUCAAGUUGGUGUUGAACAAUCCAAAACUAGUCAAAUAUUAUUUAAAUUAAUCUAUAUAUACUCAAAAGUUCAUAAUUUAGCUUCUAAAGUCAUAACCCAACCAAAUACAGAGAUUCCUAAAAUUAGUCCCGGGGCUCACCUGCCCCGAUUUCGAAAAUUUUCAAAGACAAAUAUUACAUAUCCUCACGAACCCAAAUAUAUAAAUUCUACCCGAUUCCAUAAUCGUUUUUGGUGUCUAAUCCUAUUUUUUUCAAAGACCUAUGUUUUUCCACUAAACUUAUAAUUUUCACAAUUUUUAUGUUAAAAUCUAUGAUUAUGCAUGAUUUACUCUCAUAUUAUAUAGAAAUUACUUAUAUCCAAGUGCAAGGUGAAAAGCUUUCCUCAAAGAGCUCUAAAUUCGACCAACAAGUGAGAAAAAUGAGCCUAAGUCCCGACUUAAAUACAUUUUUGCUCCUAGUGGUUCCGCUUCUACAGAAAAUUGGAUGUUUUUGCGAAAAUGCAUCGCAUAUGUGGUCCUCCAAAAGUUUCAUCCUUGUCCUUGAGUAGAGUUGAUCUUCCUACGUAGUAAGAUUAAAUCAUAUUCAGAAUCUUAGAUCACUUCUACGUAUUCAAAAAGGGUAAUAAGUUUGGGCUUAUUGUUGUUCUUGUUAUUCUAAAGGGCUGAGUUUUACCAUUUUUGAAAUCUUAGAUCACUUAUAGGUAUUCAAGAAAGGUGAUAAGUUUAGGCUUAUUGUUGUUCUUAUUAUUCUAAAGGGUCGGGUUUCACAAUCUAUCUCUUGUUUGAAUUCUCUUCCAAUGGCGAUUAGUUCGUCGUUAGCUAAUUGUUGUUGUUAGGAUUAAAAUUCAAGAAUAGACUUCUUGAAUUCAAGAAACUCUUUAUUGAAUUCAAUCUAUCUUUAAUUUUCCGUCUUUUUUUGUUUUUUAUUUUCUUUUAGCUUCCGCACGUUUCUUGAUUUUCUUGUUUUUCUUUAGUAAUUAUUGAAUUCCCUAUCGUGUUGCUAUCAGUGUUUCUGGUGCCUGAGUCGUGGCUAGGUUUGCUGGUGGCACUUUGGUGGCUGCUCGCGUAGGUGCCCUGGCUGCACCCCGCGUGCGUCCACGACCCCUCCCCUGAAUCAUGUAUCUUUAAUUCUCUAUCAAAGGCAAUUUGCUCUUCAUUAGCUAAUUUUUGUUGCUAGGAUUCUAACUUCAAGAACACAAUUCUUGAAUUUGAGAAACUCUUUCUUGAAUUCAAUCUAUCUUUAAUUUCUGUCUUUUUCGUUUCUUUAUCUUCUUUUAGCUUCCACACAUUUCUUGAUUUUUUGUUGUAAUUAUUGAAUCCCUGUCACGUCGUUAUCAAAUUGGUUGGCGAAAAAUUAUAAUAAAGUAAAGCGCAAACUACUGAAAGAGUACAUACAUUGAAUUUAAUGCUUAAAACCAUAAAGUAUCUACUAGAAUAUUAGAUACUAAAAAAAAAGAAAAAAAGAUCUACUAGAAUAUUCCCAAAAUAUGGUGUCAUAAGUGUAUGAGCAACUAGUAGAAAAAAAAACUAUAUACACUAUUGUCCGGAGUAGCAUAGUUAGAAAAUAAAUAUAAAAAAGCUGCAGAACAAACACAGAGUGCAGAUCAUCACUAUGUCUCGGGGUAAUAGGGGUAUGUGCCUAAAUGACUUCCAGAUGCACCUGCCUCAGAUCAUGCACGAGUAGUGCAGAAGUGUAGCAUGAAUACAUAAACAACAUGUACCCAGAAAAUAUCUAUUCUAACCUCGAAGAAGUAGAUCAACAUCGACACUUACUAUGGACCAAUAAAUAAAGUGCAGAAAUUCUAAAUAAGGUAUGGAACACAUAAAUAAUGAUAAUGCAACUAAUCGGACUCCGAGCAUUAUCACGCACGACUUAUGUUAAGGUCGUACAGUCCGAUCCAGAAUAAUGUGUACAUUGUCGAGGGUCGGCCGCCGUGAACCAUAGAAGCAUCUAUUAUACUGAGCAAUUUAUUUUCUUUUAACAUAUCUGAAGCACACCAUCCCUAUGACUAUGGUUGAUAGCAACAAAUAAACUUUAGCGCCUUCAACGCACACUUCCUUGUACUUUAUGCCAUACUUCAACAAAUUAUUCAACAAAAAGAUAACAUGUUCAUAACAAUCCUAGCCUACAAACCUACUCAUAUCACAAUGCAUUCGUGGCUUGAACACUUAACAACAUAGAGACAUCUAAUAAUGUCACAUAUCCCUUGCAAAACAAUGUGCCUUCACCACAAUAAUAGGAGAGUAAGUUGAAUCCACACAUUAGGAUCAAAUUCUCAAAUAUAUUUUAAUGACUCACAUAUAUCAAAACAAUUCCUCACUCUCGCAAAGAUGUCACAUGCACACACAAAGUACCAUAGACUUGCCCAUUAUGUAAACCUCCACUAAGGUUGGUUUACUCGAUCUAAAAUCAAGUAGUACUUUUCCUUAGUUGUAACGUGGGGCUAAGGGAAGGGUAUGAUAUAUUUUGGAUUAGUGGUUCAUCCUCUCAAGCACUUUAACAUAUAAUAUAAUAAAUUUCAAACGCAAAUUCUUCAAUCCACUUCAAUUUCAUAAACAAGAUCACACCUCAAAAAUAUGUCUUUCUUUAAGCACUACUUUACUUUAUACCCUACUAGCAAGAACAAGACAAUAAUUUAUUCACCACAUUUACUUUCUUUUCUUCUCUCUUUCUUUUCUCCUAUUAUAUUUCCUUUUUCAGUUUUCGCUAGUGGUGUAUUACUUUACAAAACAAGUGCACCAUUCUUUCAUUCAUUGGUUCCACCCAAAGCUACCCCACACUUAAUCCUUAUUUCUUCUAGCGUUCAUUUCAUAAUUAAAGUGCUUUAAGAGGUAAAAUAAUUAAAAUAUGUCAAAGAAGAAUAAAAUGAUAUAGGCUUGUAAUAUUGGUGUAAAAUAAAAGUCUAUAGGUUCAAAGGGUUUAUUAGGGAUAGAUUUUAUUUGUCGUAGACAUUAUGUCCAAAAAGGUAAAAAACAAAAGCCUAAAAUCAUUUUUCUAACCAAUCAAGCCUAUGAUUUCACUUCAAUUAGUUACAAUGAAAUGGACUACACAAGAAGAUCCCAACGGCACGUGACUCAUUAAGGACGGUUCCAUUCUGAGUCUCAAACAAUUGCAAGUACUAACAGAGCCACAGAUUAUUAAGCAUUAAGCACAAAGUGACACAAGCCAAGAAAAUGAGACAUAGGCAUCAAUAGACAUAUUAUCUAACUCUACAAGGCAUCAUAAGAACUUCAAACCAUAGGGAAGGUAAUACACAUCUAGCCUAAAUAUGCUACUAUCAAACAAGUCAAAAGGGUGCCUAGAAAUUUCAUCUUCCUUUUUUAUUCCCUAAAUUAUAUUUUACUCUAUAAAUAAAAAACUAUGAUCCAGUUCAAACUACAUCUCAUAAAAAAGAAUCGAAGUACAAAGAAAAAUCACAGGGGAUCAUUACUACCUAAAAAAUAAGUAAAAACAAUUUGUUGGAUUUUUCUAUUUUUCUAUGUUUUUGGUCAGAAUUUAAACCCUCAAGAAAAUUGUCUAGGAUAUUCGUCAUCGGAAAAAGUCCAGUCUUAUCUAUUUUUCUAAAAAAAGUUAUUCAACUAAACUAAUACAACUAAAAUAGCAUAGAAAGUCACCUAGAUAAUCUCCUCGCCCCAUACUUAAGAUUCUACAUUGCCCCCAAUGUGUAUCAUACUAAUAAGAGGGUAAAAGAAACUCUCUGGUAGGCCAAAGGACGAAGCACUAGCAUCUCAUGGGGUACUCAAACUUCUCCCAUGCUGUAUCCUUCGUGGGGGUACCUUACACUUAGUUCCAACCAUCUGGUUUGAUUUUUCAUCCUUCCAAUAGCUUUGCUUUCCAUGCUCCUAUAAAAAAACUACACUACGAAAAUAAUAUAAUAAAAAUUAAAGAAAUAAAAACAAACUAAAAAAUAGUAAAGUUGGGGGUUGCCUCCCAACAAGCGCCUUAGUUAACAUCGUGGCAUGACAUGAACCACUUUUCGCCUCCACUUCGGACUUAUGAAUUGGACCCUAAGUCCUGAUUCUGCUCUAUAAUCAUGCUCUUGGGGUGAUACAAGAUGUUGCGAGCCAUAAUUAAAUGAUUCUUUAUGCACUUUUUGGCUUUCAACCAAGGAGUGUCACCUUGCCUAGACGACCUUGAAAAUUUCACAAUAUAGGGCUCAUCCACCUCUUCCUUUGACUCUUGCAUUGGCUCAUACAGAUCAAUUCUCAUAUCUCCUUUCGAACGCAAUGUCGAAAAAUACUUUGAGUAAGGACCAAUAUGCUCAAACUGAAAAUUCAACUUGUUAUCAACCUCCUAUUCUUGCCACAAACUAGAACCAAUUAAAAUUGUAUCUGUAAGGUCCUUAGUUGACUCCAGUACCAUUUCUUCAACAUCGACAUCAUCAAAUCCUAGUUGGUUGGUUUGGUCAAAUUCUACUCUUAACUUCCAUUAUAAUGGUAAUUUCUGCCCCAAUUCAUGCUUUUCUUGGCUACUAUCCCAAUACGCUUGUUGCGCUUUACAAGGCUCAAUUUGCUAACUCACUUGAGUUUCUAAGUUGUGAAUAUUUGCCUCUUGACUUUGUAUCUGUGGUGGUUUUUCAUCAUAUUGUUCCACCAGACACUUAUAUCUAUGAUCUCCUUCAGGUCAGUACUCCCAGGUACUUUACUCCUAUUAACUUCACAAGAAAAAGUAGAACCAUCAUUAUAAGGAGUUAGGGUAGGAUAAGAAAUACAAGCACAAUCAUAAAAGUGACCAUCUUGAAUGCCACAAUCAUCACAUAUAUACAUAAGAUUGAGUUGGUGCAUAUAACUUGCUCUCAAAAAUAUUUUGACAAUUUUGCCACUGGUAUUUUACUCCAUAAUAAGCACAAGGAAGAUCAACAGUAGAAUUACCAAUGUCGAAACUCCCAUAGUUCUAAGAUUCGAUGUUUCUAAAAUCAACAAGUAAAACUAGAAUAAAAAAAUCAAAUACUUAAAAAAAAUUCAAACUUGAAAUAUAGUAAUAUGUACUACUACAACUACACCAUUAGUUCCCCGACAAUGGUAUCAAAGUUUGAUCACGCUCAACUCUAGUCCUAAAAAGAAUAAGCGGUCAUUACUAAUAUAAUCCGGUCUAAACAUACGGAGUCAAAUCGCAUAUAGAACUAAACUUAGCUAUAACUUUUCACUAUCACUAAGAAGACAAGUUUGAACAAAUUCUGAAGUUAUAAAGAUUGAGAUUUUAUUUCUAAAUAAUUAAAGUAUAAUUAUUAACUAAAGAUACUGCGGUUGGAGAAGAGAUUAAGGCGGUGUAAAGUAAUAAUUUCUCCAAUUGUCGGAAUCCUUCCCCCUGCGUCUUCUAUAAUUUUGUCUAAGUAUUCUCUACUUAUCGUGAGUACUUCUGUAAUUACCAUAAUUUACUACAUAUAUUCUCUCGAACUACACUAGUUGGUAACUAAUUCACCACUCCCUAUAAUCGCACCGAGGUUUCAUUAUCUCUAAUCCUGCCUUUAAACACUCCUUAUUGAUCUCUCACGUACAUUAGGAGUGAUGUUGUUCAACAAUACCUAAAUGUGUAUUUUCUCUCGAGCAAUAUACACGGUAAAUAGACACAGUUAAUUGAGACACCUUCCAUCAACAACAAUGGAAAUAUAGUUGAAUAAGUAGAGAAAGAUGAAGGGCAAAUGUAUAUAAAAACGUAAUAAGAAUUCAUCCUACAAAAGGUUCCAUCAAAACCCUAGAUAACAUAUUAGUCAUUUUUAAUAGUAUGAAAAACUAAAAUACUAGAAUUCAUGACCAAAACUGAAAAUAGGAAGAAGGACGUGAAAAAAUCGUAGAAGAAUUCUCCGCCUUGCUCAUAAUGUGUUUUUUCCUCCUUAGGUCGAAAUCCCUUCUCCAAAAACGUCCUCCUUUAUUUCAAAUCUGCUCUGAAACACCCUUUGUUUCUUGGACAUAUUUAGGAAGUAUUCAUAGGAUAGGGUUUGAGUGCAAAUCUGGAUCGAAAUCCUUUUAUUCAUGCAAUUUUGAUCAUCAGGCUAUAGACCUCGGGAGACCAGGCUUAUUAGCGGGGUCAGUCUGGCUAUAGAGUUGGCUACGUCUGGCCUGUAGCGUGGUCAAGCUUGCUAUAUACAUGGCUAUACUUGGCUUGUAGCACAAUAAGCUGGCUAUGCUUGGCAUGUAGCCAGGCUUUGGUACUUCGUACUUUUGUGCUCUUUUCUCAUAUUUUUAUCUUUUUUUGUGUAACUCUCACUUGCUUUUGUCUUUCGAUGCUCCUACACAUUAAACAACAUAAUUUAGCUCAAAUAUCACAUAAUUAACCGUUAAACUAACAACAUGUAAAGCGAAUAUAUCCUAAAAAUACAAUAUUUUGGCAAACAUCACAUCUCUUUACAAGUACUAUUCUUUGCUACACAUAUGUAUCUUCUUUUGUUCAAGAGCUACUUGAUGAAGUUUCAGUUCAAAUGAGAAAUGUAGACAUGCUUAUUCGUUAUGAACCGCCAUAUAAUGGAGUAUAAACAUGUUUUAUCACUAAAAUGCAUGUUUUAAAAGGAAUCUCGAGUAGCCGUUGAGUCGUAUAAUUUUUUUAUAAACAAGUGUCACUUGAACAUAGCCCCUGCUACUUAUUUAAUUAUUUGUUUCCAAACAAAUAUUUUUUCCUACGUCAACGUGGCGGCGGGGAGUAGUAUUGACUUCUUAAGCCUUUAUAUCCUACUCUUGAGCCAUACGUAAAUAUAUAAAGACAUUACACAUCCAGCUAUUCUUUCCCUUCAUUUCCUUUUGAUUUGGAAUUGUCACGACCCCAAAUGGCCGGUCAUAAUGAUACCUCUCGUGAAGAUAAGGUCAGCCAACAUAAUACUUACAUCAACCUUUUAAUCAUUAAAAAUAAUUUUUAGACCUUUAAUUAGAGUAAUAUUUCGUAAUAUAAAUCUGAAGAAAAAUAGUGCAGAAUUACUAUACAAGCCCCACAUUGAGAUGUCACUAAUCAUGAGCAUCUAUCAAGGUCUGAAUGCAACAAAAGUCUAAAAAUGUACAAAUACAGUAGUAUCAAUAUGAGGAAGGGAGUGGUGCUACGAACGUCAUGCAACCACCAGCUACCUCUGAUGGCUCCACGUUUGAGCAGAACAACACUCGCUAUCGGGUUCCGAUAUGCCUGCAUCUGUACACGAGGUACAUGGAGUAAUGUGAGUACUCCAACCCAGUAAGUAAUAAGAUUAAUAAAGGCUGAGCAAAAGGAAAUAAUGAAUCCAUAUUUACGUUAGGCUCAAUAAACACAACAGGCUUUCAAAUCAUAAUACGAUUCAACCUUCCCUUUUAAAAUUCAGCUUUUAGUAAAAAUCAUUUUGAAGUACUUUCCAGCAGUUUCAGUAGGGUUCAAUGCCAUUUAAAAUAAUAACAGAGAUUAAAGUCAUAAUCGGCCUCUCGGGGCAAAGCAUAGUUCAUAAAACAACCCAUCGGGCAAAACAAUAAUCAUAAACACUUCAUAACUCGAAAACCUCGAUGGAAAUAGCCAAAUGUUAAAUCUGUGAUUAAUUUCUGAACAUCUCAUAAACCCUAGUUUAAAUAAAAGUUGUUUUAAAAUAUUUAUUCGACAUUUCGAUAGAGGCUCAACAUAAAAAUGAGUGAAACAACCACUAAUUCAGCAUAUGCAAUAGAACUCAUGUUAAAGAGGAGUGAAAUCAAUAAAUUCAUAAACAGGCCUCUCAGGCAGACAUCACUCAUGUACAUGUAUAUAUCUAUCGCCGCAUGAGCUAGGCUCUCUUCCACUCAUGACUCAAAUAUUACCAAUCAGUAUUUGCACUCAACAUUCACGCUCAAUAGGUACCAUAUAAUAACUGUUGCGGCGUGCAGUCCGAUCCAUAUAUCGCUGCGCGCGUGCAGCCCGAUCCAUAUAUUUCAUCGACGGCGCUCACUGGGGGUGUGCAGACUCCUAGAGGGGCCUCUUACGGCCCAAGCGCAAUAUUGUUGCAGCAUGCAGCUCGAUCAAACAUAUCGCUGCGGCAUGCAACCCGAUCCAUAUAAGUAUCGAUGUGGCGUGCAACCCGAUCCAUAUAUAUAUAUAUAUGUAUAUAUAUAUAUAUAUAUGUAUGUAUAUAUAUAUAUAUAUAUAUAUAUAUAUGUAUNNNNNNNNNNNNNNNNNNNNNNNNNNNNNNNNNNNNNNNNNNNNNNNNNNNNNNNNNNNNNNNNNNNNNNNNNNNNNNNNNNNNNNNNNNNNNNNNNNNNNNNNNNNNNNNNNNNNNNNNNNNNNNNNNNNNNNNNNNNNNNNNNNNNNNNNNNNNNNNNNNNNNNNNNNNNNNNNNNNNNNNNNNNNNNNNNNNNNNNNNNNNNNNNNNNNNNNNNNNNNNNNNNNNNNNNNNNNNNNNNNNNNNNNNNNNNNNNNNNNNNNNNNNNNNNNNNNNNNNNNNNNNNNNNNNNNNNNNNNNNNNNNNNNNNNNNNNNNNNNNNNNNNNNNNNNNNNNNNNNNNNNNNNNNNNNNNNNNNNNNNNNNNNNNNNNNNNUAAUUGUUGCGGCGUGCAGCCCGAUCCAUAGAUAUAUAAUCCUCACAACUAGGCCCUCGGUCUCUCUUAGUCAUUAACCUCACCAUCAGACUCUCAGUCUACUCAGUAAAACACGGAACUCAGCCCAAAACAGUUUUCACACUUUUAAGAAUAUAGUGAUAAGCCAAAUUUGAGUGAUAGACAGUUAAAACAUGACUAAGGAUAUGCUUUCAAACAAAUAGAGUGAGGAUAGAUAGUAAAAAUGCUCUUAAGGGUCUCAAACAAGUCGGCACAAGGCCCCAAACAAGGCAUACAACCCAAAAUAUAAUAACAUCAAACAAUUAACUAUCAAGUACGCAUUAAAGUACUCAUUCAGGAUGGACUAGGUCACAAUCCCCAGUGGUGCUCUACCCCACGCUCGUCAUCUAGCGGGUGAGUCACCUCAAUGUAACACAACGAUGUGCAAUUUGGGUUUUCAAACCCUCAGAACAUUAUUUACAAUCAUUACUUACCUCGAACCGGCGAAAUCUCUAGCUCGCGAAACCCUUGCCCCUCAAAUUGGCCUCCACGCGCGUCGAAUCUACCCAAAAUAAGAACGAAUACAUCACAAUAUGCUAAGGGAACAUAGCCCAAGCAAAAACAAUAGAAAAAUAUCGAAAAAUCUUGAAAUUAGCAAAACCAUGGUCCCAGGCCCACUUCUCGAAACUCAAAAAUUUUAACAUCAACGGAUCCCCUAUCUCGCCACGAGUCCAUACAUACAACAAACUCUCAAAUCCGACCUCGAGUGACCCUUCAAAUUCCAAUUUAAAAUUUCACCAACCCAAGCCCUAGUUCUUCCUUUUUUAGCUAAAUUUCCAUGAAUUUCUAGGUUAAUUCCACAAAUAAAUCACGUUUUUUGUUAAUAGAACUUACCUCAAAUUAAUCGUCCUUGAAUCCCUCUUCAAUUUCUCCCAAAGAGCUCUCAAAAUGAUCAACUAUGGAGGAAAUAUGACUUAAGUUCGCAGAAUAAAAUAUUUAAAAAAACCUUCUGGCCAGCUGCUGAUUUUUUCUAUAUGAUUGCGGCCCAAGGCUCGUGAUCGCGAAGAGCAAAUUUUCCAUGACCUCAAAAUAAACUACAUGAACGCGAUAAAAUCCUCGAGAGUGCGAUGCAGCCUUUCCUCACACUACGCGAAUGCAAACCUGACACUGCGAACGCGAAGGCAAAGGCCCCUGGCCCUCAAAUCCUCCUUUGCGAAUGCGAAGCACCCAGGACUCACCCUCCACGAACGUGAAGCAUCAACCACGAACUCGAAGAAAAAAUCUUAGGCCUCCCAAAAUCCUUCUAUGAAAAUGUGGGGGACCUCCCGCGAUCGCGAAGGUCAAAAUUCCUCUACAAUAGCUGCUGCAUUUAUGCAAUUUCCUAAGUCCCAAAAACCUUCCGCCAGCCAUCCGAAACUCACCCGAGACCCUGGGACCUCAACCAAAAGUAUCAAAGCAUCCUAUGCAUCAUUCAAACUUGUUUCAAUCAACAAAACACCUCAAACAACACCAAAAAGCAUCAUUUCACAUUGAAUUCAAGCCUAAGUCUUUCCAAAAACUUCUGAAACACUCAUUCGAUCGAAAACCCAACUAAACCACGUCCGAAUGACCUGAAAAUUUGCACACACAUCAAAAAUGACAUAACAAAGCUACAAUAACUCUCGGAAUUCCAUUCCGACCCUCAGAUCAAAAUCUCACCUAUCAACCGGAAUUUGCCAAAAUACUAACUUUGCCAAUUCAAGCCAAAUCCUUCCACGGACUCCCAAAGUGCAUUCCAAUCGCACUGCUAAGACAUAAAUCACUUAACAAAGCUAACCGAAUCAUAAAAAUUCCUAUCCAAACUCAUAUACAAAUAAGUCAACCCUUGGUCAAACCUUUCGAAUUCAAAGCUUUCGACUGAGACUGUUCCUUCAAGCUCAUUCCAAUUUUUUCUGAAAACCAAAACAAACGAUGGACAUCAGUCACACUACAUUCCACGGGUAAGUCAUGCUCGAGAACUGACGAUCAAGAUGCAAAAGCUCGAAACGACCGGUUGGGUCGUUACAGGAAUAUUGUAGGAAUUUUUAUCUCCUAUAGCAAAUGUUGAUACCUUAUUUAUUUUAAAUAAAUAUUAUUUUUAAAAUUAUAUUCCAUAGCUACCUUUUUAAUUUUUAUAGUCAAAUAUUUACUUAUGGUCACCUCCUACCCUUGUUGCCCUCUCUUUCAUAAAAUACGUUGCUCUCUCUGUUUCAACCAUCUCUCUCAACACCAGUUUUCUCCAUGAAUACAAACUCAGAGAUUCUCUCUCAUCAGUUCCCCCGUCGAUCGUUCUUUUGAGUAGUCAACAAGAAUUAUUUUGCAUCUAUUUUCUUCAAGAAUUUUGAAGAAUCAAUGAUAAAGAUGGAUAAAUUGGAGUCCUUACUGAAAAAAUAGGCGAAAUUAGAAAAUAUUGUGUCCUUAGAAACUAAGAGAAACAAAUCUAAACAAACAUUAUAAGCUCUACUGUUUCACUGUUUGUCUCUAUUCAAAUGGGAUAUACAAUUGGCCCAAAAGCAACUUCAAUUCAGAUUCAACUACCGCCGUCGUUGUCAAGCCCCUAUGUCCUUCUUAGGGCUUUGCAACGUGAGAUAUCCAAGCGCACGUGGGGUAUUAUGGUAACAGGAACAGUGGUGUUUAGAGUCAGAAUUGCGGCUCGCUCGAUGAGACGAUAUUAGGGUUGUUCUUGAACAAAGACGUCAGAGUUUGGAUCUAAGCAAUUUGAAGAUAGUAUUUCAAUGUAUCUUGUUGAUUUCCAUGUAUUUCAUUGUAUUCAUUGUCUUUUUUAUUGUAUUUCAAUGUAUCUCGCUGUAUUCCAUGUAUUUCACUGUAUUCACUAUCUCGCUGUAUUUCAUGAAUGCAUUUAUAUAUAUUUUAAAUAAUAUAAUUUAUGUAUUCAGAUGUGUGUGUGUACAUAUAUAUAUNNNNNNNNNNNNNNNNNNNNNNNNNNNNNNNNNNNNNNNNNNNNNNNNNNNNNNNNNNNNNNNNNNNNNNNNNNNNNNNNNNNNNNNNNNNNNNNNNNNNNNNNNNNNNNNNNNNNNNNNNNNNNNNNNNNNNNNNNNNNNNNNNNNNNNNNNNNNNNNNNNNNNNNNNNNNNNNNNNNNNNNNNNNNNNNNNNNNNNNNNNNNNNNNNNNNNNNNNNNNNNNNNNNNNNNNNNNNNNNNNNNNNNNNNNNNNNNNNNNNNNNNNNNNNNNNNNNNNNNNNNNNNNNNNNNNNNNNNNNNNNNNNNNNNNNNNNNNNNNNNNNNNNNNNNNNNNNNNNNNNNNNNNNNNNNNNNNNNNNNNNNNNNNNNNNNNNNNNNNNNNNNNNNNNNNNNNNNNNNNNNNNNNNNNNNNNNNNNNNNNNNNNNNNNNNNNNNNNNNNNNNNNNNNNNNNNNNNNNNNNNAUACAAUUUGCUGUAUUUUUGUUGUAUUUAUUGGCUGAGAAAAAUAUUCAGCACAUUUUCUCUGAAGAUUAUUAUAUUUUUGGGGAAUUUUUCGUUUGAGAAUCUAUUUUAUAAAAUUUGUGUGUUAUAAUUGAGUUUAUUGAGUUAUAUUAGAAGUCGAUUAUGUUAAUUGAUUCCCUUUCGUUUAAAUCAAUUGUAAUCCCCUGUUUCACGUUGUGAAUACAGUCGAAUACAAAAGUAUGUCUAGCUAUAAUCUCAUGUUUCACGCCUAGAAAUGCUACUGUAUUCAACUAAAUUAUAGUGGUUUUUGAAAGUAUUAAUAUUAUAUUUUGUAGGGGAUCAUCAAGUUGAGCCGGGCUUCUCUUUGUUUUAGUUUUUAAAUAACAUUGGGAUAUUAUAACGACCCGACGGUCGUUUUGAGCUCUAGCAUGUCGUUCAAAAGCCUGAGACCAUAAACAACUUCGUUUCAAAUAUUAUGACCUGUACGCAUGGUUGGAAUUAAUUUUUGGGAAGUUCAGAGUUGAUUAGCAAAGAGAAUUCUCAUUUCGGAAGCUUAAAGUUGAAAGAAUUAACUAGGAUAGAAUUUUGAGUAAACAACCUGGAAUCAGGAUCUGAAGGUUCCAGCAAGUUCGUAUGAUGAUUUCGGACUUGGACGUAUGCCCGGAUCGGGUUUUGGACAACCCCGGGAGCGCUUUGGCGCCUAUUGUGGAAAGUAGCAUUUUGAAAGAAAUUUCAUAAGUUUGGGUUGAAGUGAAUUUCAGUGAUAUCGAUGUCCGUUUGGGAUUCCGAGUCUAGGAGCAGCUCCGCAUUGUGAUUCUGGAGUUGGGAGCACGAUCGGAAGUGAAUUUGGAGGUCCAUAGGUCAUUUUGGAGUCAUUUGGCUAAAGAUGUAAAUUUCAAGGUUUUUGAGAAGUUUGACCGAGAGUUUGAUUUUUUGAUAUCGGGGUCGGAUUCUAAUUCUGAAAGUUUGAGCAGAUCCAUAAUGUCGAUUAUGAUUUGUAUGCAAAAUUUGAGGUCAAUCGGACGUAAUUUGACGGGUUUCGGCAUCGAAUGUAGAAGUUUGAAAUUUCAAAGUUCACAAAGCUUGGAUUGGGGGUUGACUCAUGAGUUUAGCAUUGUUUGAUAUGAUUUGAGGCCUCGAUCAAGUCCUAAAUUUAUUUUGGGGUUGGUUGGUUGGGGGUCUCGGGGGCCUCGGGUGUGUUUCGGGUUGUAUCCCGCUCGUAUUUGAUGUUUUUACGUUGUUUCUUUGGACAUAAAGGGGAACCAUAUUAAGCAAAUGAGCUCCAAAUUAAGAUUUUAUUAAAACCGUUAGAUCCGUAUCAUAAUUUCGGAGCCAUAUAAAAAAGAAUCAUCGAAUUUGGACAUCGUAUGAGGAAUUUAUGCUCAUUUCCGUGUUGAAAAAGUGUUGGUUGCUCAGAAGCAGAAAUUUUCCGCAGAAACGGGACCGCGAAAAUGGAAAUUUUUCCGCAGAAGCGAAAACUGCUAGAGGUAGAGAGAUUUCUUUAAAACUCAAAGUUUGGCUCAUUUUCACUUUAUUUCUUCCAUGGGAGCCGAUUUUGGAGCAACUUUGGAGUGUCAUUUUCAUCAUCAAGCAUGAGGUAAGUGAUUUCUACUAGUUUUGAGUAUAUACAAGGUUUAUAUAUGGAUUUAGUGGAGUGUCAUUUUCAUCACCAAGCAUAAGAUAAGUGAUUUCAACUGAUUUUGAGUUAAACACAAGUUUUAUAUAUGGAUUUAGACAUGGAAAUUUGUAUAAAACUUGGGGUUUGAGGAAAACCUAGAAAAUUAGUAUUCUUAGAUUUUGACUAUGAUUAUGAGUAUGGAAUUAAGAGAAAAUCAUAUAUUCGAGUUCGUGAGUUCAUGGGAAAACUUUAUCUUCGGAAAAUUUCAGAUUCCGGGCACGUAGGCCCUAAGGAAUUUUUAUCAACUUUUUGAUCGGGUUUAGGAAUUAUUAUAAAUUAGAUUAUAAUGAGUACCUUAGCAUAUAUUAAUGGGUUUACAUAAUUAUUGGCUAGUUUUGGAGUGUUGUUGUAUUGAUUCGAGUCUUCGGAAAGGUGUGAAAUGUCGGUUAUGGAUCUUCGGAGCAAGGUGAGUCUCCUUUCUAACAUUGUAAGAGAUAAAUAUUCACAUACGUGAAUUAAUUGAUUAUGUGGUCCUAUUUGUGGGGGCUACGUACGCACGAGGUGAUGGGAGUCCAUGCGUAGCUACUAUUAUGUUUAAGUCUGGGUAGUCUAGGACCCAAAAAGCAUGUUAUACUUGGAAUAUUUGUAAACUUAUUGACCGCUUGCAAUUAUGUUUAAGUCUGGGUAGUCUAGGACCCAAAAAGCAUGUUAUACUUGGAAUAUUUGUAAACUUAUUGAGCGUUUGAAUUGCUUAAAUCACAUCAAAACAGUAAAUGGAUUUCAAAAGGAUUAAACAUCAUUUUCUUGACCGUUAAAGAGAAUUGCUAUUUCUUUGGGUAAUUAUUUUUCCUUGACAAAGUCUUGAUUGACAAUUUGAAUGCAUGCUUCAAUGUGUACUGCAUCAUGGGUGAUUCGCGAGCGAGAUGUUGUUUAUUUAUAUUUGACCGCAUCAUAUGGAUGAUUCGCGAGCGGGGUAAUAGAUGCAUCUGUGGUUCUUGCCGUUCGACACUCGGCAGUGCACAAUUUACUUUUAUGUUGGAUCGGGCCAUACAUCCUACGGUGGUUGUUUGCGCGUUGGUAUUAUUUACUUGAACUUAUUAAAGUUGUUACUGCCUCUUCAUGGCUUGAGAAUAUUUGGAAAACAAUGAAAAAGGAGUUUGGAAAUUUCCUAUAAAAGGAAUAAUUGUCUAUUGUUUUCCUGCUAUUUGGUAAAAUCAUGUUUGUAGAAAUUCAUGCUUUAAUGUAUUAUUGACAUCAUUGUUGGACCACUAGUAAGUGUCGAAGUUGACCAUCUCGUCUCUACUUCUUCGAGAUUAGACGGGAUACUCAUUGAGUACACGUGGUUUGCGUACUCAUACUACACUUCUGUGCAUUUUGUUGCACAGGUAUACGUAACUCUAGUGGCCUACUGGGCAUAGCAGCACGGAUUAUUCUGGCACUAGGUGAGUUGCAUUAUUCAAGGUGGCCUACAGCUAGUAUAGUCCCUUCCACUGUAUUGUAUUUACUUCACGUCCAUUGUAUUCCGGAUGGGUAUUGUAUUUUAUUUCCCUAUCAGUAGAUGCUCAUGCACUUGUGACACAGGGUUCUAGGAUGAUUUUAAAAUACUUUGUACUAAUUGCUUAUUAUUUAAUUUGAAUUGAAGUAGUAAUCUUUUUAAUUAUGAAAAAUUGAAGGAAAAUCCUAGAUUUCAAAAGUAUUAAAAUGAGAGUUUGAUUAAGUGAUUUGGUUGGCUUGCCUGAGAGCAGUGUCCGGUGCCACCACGACCCUUUGUGGAUUUUGAGUUGUGACAACAUGGUAUCAGAUCACUAGGUUCCCUUAGGUCUCACGAGUCAUGAGCAAGUCUAGUAGAGUCUCGCGGAUCGGUACGGAGACGUCUGUACUUAUCUUCGGGAGGUUAUAGGGCUAUUAGAAGUACUUCCCUUCUUGAUUUAUUAUCCUGCAAUUUGAUUUCUAUGAGGCUUAUGCCUUUGUUCCUUUCCUACUUAAUCUUAUGCGAUGCGAGGCGCUUGUUAUAAAUCAAAAAUUGAAGAAUUGUAAUGGCAUUACGAAUGUGGUGCGGGUGUUUCUCCCUGCGGGGUUAUUUGAGUUAUUACCGUCGCCUUGUGGAAGGAUAUUUUGUUAUUUCGGCUUAGUACCAAUAUUUCAGAGAGACUUGAGGCUAGGCAAAGAUUUCCAUGAUGCUUAUGAGCGAUUAUUCUGCAGUAUUAUUAUGAUAGUAGGAUGUUUGCCUAUGUGUCGAGACAGUGAAUGACUUGAAGGGAGGUUUACUCAGUGCAUGAUCUAGAGAUUCAGUGUUUUAUUCCCGGUAGAGGAAAGGCAAUCGGGCAGAGAAUGUUCAGGUUUGGGCUGAUAAGGUAUCGAGACUUGAUGUUUGCUAGCGUGGUGGAAGUUUUCUUCUAUGAUGAGGUGUUGUUGUCCUUAUUGAAUGUACUAGAUUCGCCGGUGUUAUGGUCUUCUACAAUUCGCCUUUGGAGCAGGAUAUUGCAGGUCAGUAUUAAAGAAGCGACUGUCAGAUGUCACGAGGCAAGGUGGUUCAGGGUCAAAUAGUCAUGUAUAAUAUUGGCAGCUUGAGAGAGAUGAUCUCCGUCAAAAUUUAAAGUUAGUAGUGAUUGUGAAUUCAAGUGCUACGAAGAUAGAUUUUAAUAAGGUAAUAACUGAAUAGCAAAGGAUGAGGAAAGAUGUAUGGAAAGUGUCAGACGGUAGCUAAAGUUCCUAGAAGGCCAGGUUUAUGGAGUAAAGGUAAAGUAGUUGAUUAAAGAAGUGAGUUUUCCCAAAGUGGGAGAGUGGCGGAGUUGCAUAUGGGCUUGGUGGUAGGAUGAUUACGCACCUUAAGGAGAGUUUGGAUCGAUUUGAGAAUUUUAGUGAUUGGUGAUUGGGGUCUACGGAUCUAAUUUGAAGUAUGGGCUAAUAUGUAGCAAAGAGAUCGGUUGUGCGAAUGUGGUUGGUGAUUCAGAGUAUAUAAAGGGGGUCUUUGCGGAAGGAUUCCGAGAAAUUUUAGUGGUUGAUUGUGCAAGGUUAUGGCUAUAAGAGGUAACGAAUUCUAGUGAAUUCUAGAGUUGUGUAAUAGUGGUUUUGAGCUAAGUGGGAGAGUCCCAACGUUUAUGAUUGGGUUGCAUAAUUAACCACUUGCGAGGUUUCUAGUUAUUAGCAUAUUGACAGGUUAUAUUCAGCUACAGGAAAAGAACAUAAGUGGUGAUUUGAACAAAAGAAUUAUUAAAUGGUGCUAUGGUUGGCCUUAUUGGCUAAUGUUCAGCCUAGGAGAAGGAUUCAAGACUUAUGCCUUGUAUGGAUGCGGGUUUCGAGGGGAGAGAUUCCGCCGGGUGCCUCGUCGAGAGGAUAUUCAUGUGUUAUAAGAUUUAUGGAGAUGCAAUCUCAGGUAAUAGAGUUAUAUACUGGGUAUCAACCACACUUCAAUACCUAGUCAAAUUCAGAAAACCAAGCUUUAAAAAAUGUACCACAUAAAUGGACUGAUUUGCUUCAAUUAGUGGAACAAUACACACCCAAGUUGAAAUAUACUAAGUUAUGGGAGUUACUUGAGCAAGGCUGGAUAAAGGCCAAUACUGAUGGAGCAUCUAGGGGUAAUCCAGGUAAGAGUUCCAUAGGCUAUAUGUUGAGGAAUGAAGAAGGGAAUGCAGUCUAUGCAUGUGGAAGAGAAAUAGAGGAGGGUACAAAUAUAGAAGAUGAGGUAAAAGCUAUCCUAUAAGCCUUAAGGUACUGUGUUGAACAUGAUUACCUUCUUAUUGACUUGCACAUUGAUUCAGUGCUAGUCAAGAAUGUACUAACAGGAGAAUGGAAUGUACCAUGGGCUGUUGUAGUACAUGUGGAGGAAUUAAAGGAGCUGAUGGAAAGAUGCAACUUGAGGAUAUCUCAUACAUUGAGGGAAGGAAACCAGCUAGCAGAUCAUAUAGCCAAUUAUGCUUUGGAUGUUGGCUCAAUGGAGUGUAAUGGAUUUGGAGAUCUGGAUGUCAAAGAAAGGAAAAUUGUGAAUAGUGAUAAAUUACAAUGCCCAUACAUAAGAGUAAAGGUUACAGGAACAUAGGAGAAGAGGAGGAAAGGAGUAGCAGGAGCAGGGGAAAUUCUAGGAGGCUACACGCUCAUCAUACUAAAAUCCAUGUGGAGGAGAAUAUGGUGAAUUUGUUUAUUGCUAACCUAGUUUUCUUUUUUGCAGGGAACGUUACUGUGGUCAUGCCCCAUCUUUUGAACAACUCCCAUUUGGUGGUAUUAGUACUAUGUACUCAUUCCAAUGGGAGGGAAGCAAGGAUGGGCAUAAGCAUGGCAUGGAAUUUACAUAAUGAAAAACUGGGCUACUAUGUGCUUAGGGAGGAGCUGUGGCAUGCUUCUCAUGAUCAAGGCACCUUAUUGAUAAGGAAUGCAACAUGCUCAACGACAGAUUGCAGAAUAUAAGAUAACAUGGAUGCAACAGAAUAUCAGUCACACUCUAACAGUAGAUUGAUACGACCAUGUGAUCAAAGGGACUACACAAGCAACACACGAUGGAAAAUAUACAGAUGCUAUACACAUACAACAUUUGCGAUAUGCAGGCAAGAUAACCCUGAAGGAAGUUCACACAUACGGGUAGGGUUCAAACUGCAAUUCUGGUCAUAGCAUACCAAGUUCAACAUAAUUCCCAGGUAUUUAUGGUCGAGGGUGUGUAUUUCAGAGGUUUCUAUGGGCUAUGACAAUGGGACAACAAGGAGUUACAUAACAGAUACUUCAGCUAGGACAAACAAUGAAUACAAGAUAGAGAAGAACUGGAUUUCAAACACAAAGAACAUCUGUGAAGUUUGGAAACAAAACAGCUCAGUUACUAGGAGUUCAAUUAGAUGGUUAGGCCAGAAAUGGAUAUUACUGUUGGAAGUGCUAGCUAGCGACAAAUUUUCAGCAAACGACAUGGAUCAAUCAACAACUACAAUCAUCACAAGGCUUAGAAUUUUCAGAAGACACAACCAACAAGACAUGCACACGAGCCAGUUACAAUGUUGGAAAUAUAGCCAGUUUUGUAACUUUUAGAUUUUUAGUCCUUCCAUAGUACAAUAUGUGAUAUCAAUUUUGAGUCUACUAUUCAAGAUUGAUAAUAGAGAUUAUAUAAGUAUAAUAGGUAGCCAUUUAAAAUUUUUAGUCACAUUGACAAUAUAUUUUUACAUUAUUUUAAAUAUAUAUAAAAUUUAGCCCUAGGCACCUUGUCUAAGUAGAUUUUUUAAAAAAAAACUCCCAACCGUUUAUAUCAAGAGCUCACUUUUUCUACAAGAUUUAGGUAGUUGGUUCGGGAACAUAGAUAGCCGGGUUAGAGAUGCUGGCGAUUGUGAAAUUGAAGAAAGAAAUAUAGGGUUGGUUAGAUCAAUAUGGCAAGCUUGCUAGCGAAUCAAUCAAGUGACUUUAUACCACAAAUGACCUAGGUAAAGAAAGUUUCAAAUCUGCCCAAUUCCAUAUUCAGUCCGGCAAGCUCGUAGCACCGGAAAAAGUUCAGAUGAAUGAAAUCAAUUUACAGGGGUACAAAAUCCCUGUUUGAAGGGAAGAUGAUGCAAAUUUUGAACGUUUUGCUAAACAACAACAACAACAACAAUUACCCAGUAUAUUCUCGCCAGGUGGGGUCUGGGGAGGGUAAUAUGUAGACGAGCCUUACCCCUACCCGAAAGGGUAGANNNNNNNNNNNNNNNNNNNNNNNNNNNNNNNNNNNNNNNNNNNNNNNNNNNNNNNNNNNNNNNNNNNNNNNNNNNNNNNNNNNNNNNNNNNNNNNNNNNNNNNNNNNNNNNNNNNNNNNNNNNNNNNNNNNNNNNUUCCAUUCGACCCUCGGCGCAUAGGAUAAAAUGAAAAGCUGCAUCAAAACAAAAAUAAAAACAAAGACAAAUUUAGAAACAAAAACAAGACAAAACAAAACAAUAGAGCAUUACUAAAUCCCGCAGAAAUAACGUAAAUAAUUAUGUAAACCUUAAAAACAUAAAUACAGUCGCAUGCAAUAAUAACAAACCGUAAUUACCAUACUAACAACCAUAAGGGGACAUAAGCUACAACACUAAUCAUCUAUGGGUGACCCUGCUAGCCCACACCCAGCCCCAAGAGAGGCGUACGAAGAACUCUAUGAGCCCUUAGCCUCCAACCCUGAUACUAGACCUCCAGACUCCCCUAUCAAGGGUCAUGUCCUCGGUAACAUGCAUUCUAGUCAUGUCCUGCCUAAUCACCUCUCCCCAAUGCUUCUUAGGCCUCCCUCUCCCACGCCGACCACCAACAAUCUCCAGCCGCUCGCAGCUCCUCACCGGGGCAUCGGGACCCCUCCUCCGUACAUGCUCGAACCACCGCAAUACCCGCAUCUUCUCAUCCACCGGUGCCACCCCUACCUUCUGUCGAAUAAUUUCAUUCUUAAUCUUAUCUAGCCUGGUGUGCCCACACAUCCACCUAAGCAUCCUCAUCUCCGCAACCUUCAUUCUCUGAACAUGGGAAACGUUUUGCUAAACAAAAAGGAAUAGGAGAAUCUUGUUACGUUUUACAGAAAUUCCGACAAGAUAGGGAGAGGCAUGGUGAUACGAGCAAUUAUGAAACUGAAGAAAAAAGGUGAAAAGGAAGAGAGUGAAAUAAGUUAAAAUUUUGACUUUGCUUAUGUGUUGAUUUGAUACUUUAGAGUGGGGAAGGAUGGGAUUCUUUGGAAGAUUAAUGGUGUUAGUGGUUGCCACGGUGAAAAAGAAGAAGAAGAAAAAGAGAUUUAAUUUGUAAAAUUUUGAUAAAGUAGUGAAAAAAGUUUGGACUCAUUAAUUAUAUAUGUCAAAUAAUAAUAGGUUAAGAAUAUGACAUGUCAGCUAUGUAACCAUAAAUUUUUAUUCAUAUCAAGAUCUUGAACAUGAUAAUUUUAAAUAUAAUCAUCAUAAAAACAUACCUGAAGCAGGAUUUAAUAUCUUGAAGCGGAAUCGUUAAUUGAAAUUGAUUUCUCGCUCCUUGCCCUAACUUUCAUUACCGCCGACUUUAGUGAUGGGGGAGAGGAAAAGAAUACGGUAACCCUAAUGAGUAGGGAGACGACCAAUUUAUAGAAGUUCUUAUUUAAUCUGGUACGUCCAUCAAGUAACCUAUUGGAUGGAUGAGAUUUGCUCAUUAAUAUAUAUUAAUUGUGGGCCUUAAACAUAUUGGCCACACACACGUAAGAAAAUAACUUACAUUCUCUCACUUGGCCUAAUAAUCACAUAAUAUUAAUAUUUAAUAUAGGAAUAUUAGUUGAGAAUUAUCGUGUAAUAUCUCAAAACAAUAAUGUGUACACCAUUAUAAGAAACAGGAAAUCACUAAUGUAUAUUAGAAACAUAUAAAUGAGCUCAGAGUGUCAAAACAUCAUAAAUACAUCAAUCAUAAAUACAGUCAAGACCCAUUCUAUGUACAUGUUCUUUAAAUGUCUUUGGUUGUAAACCUUUCGUUAACGGAUCUACAAUCAUGAGAUCUGUUCAAAUAUGUUCAAGUGACACUUUUUGUUUCUGAACUUACUCCUUGACGGUAAAGUGCUUUAAUUCCAUAUGUUUGGCACCUUUGGAGUACUUAUCGUUCUUAGAGAAGAAUACUGCUGCAGAAUUAUCACAGUAAAUUUUUAGCGAUUUUGUAAUGGUUUCGACAACCGCAAGUCCUGAAAUAAAGUUUUGCAGCCAUAAUGCAUGAAUUGUGGCCUCAAAACAUACCACAAAUUCUGCUUCCAUCGUGAAUGUAGCUAGUGGUGGAUCCACCUUUGGAGAUAUGGGUGCUGAAGCACUCAAUGACAUUAGCCAAAUUAUGUAAUAUAUUCAUAAAUAAUACCUAAAAAAUUCAAUAAUUGACCAUGAGUAUCCACUAUGAUCACAUUUGGCCAUCUAAAAUUUAAACUAAUUCCAGUGAAGCACCACGGCCUAUAAGUCCUGGAUCCGCCACUAGAUGUAGUAAUGACAGACUGUUUGGCAUUUUUUCACGAUAUUGCUCCUUCAGCUAAUUGGAACAAAUAACCAAACGUAAAUUUUCUAGUGUCAAUACACCCAGCGAAAUCUGAAUCCGAUUAUCCAACAACUUCCAAAUGCUUGGAUCUCCUAUACAUGAGCAUGCAAUCCUUCAUUCCUUUCAGGUACCUCAAAACUUUCUUUGCAGCUUUUCAGUGAUCAAUUCCUAGGUUACUCUAUAUCUUCCUAACAUUCUGACCGCAAAGCUAAUAUCUGGUCUUGUGCAAGUUUGAGCAUACAUCAGACUACCAACAAUAGAAGAAUAAGAAAUGGAUUUCAUUUUUUUCGCUCUACAUCAUUCUUAGGACAUUGCAUGCAACUAUAUUUGUCCCCUUUUUGAAUUGGAACAAUUCCUGCUGAACAAUUGUUCAUAUUGAAUAUCUCUAGAAUUCUUUCGAUAUAACCUUUCUCAGACAACCCUAAUAAUCCUUUUAAUCUAUCAUAUAAUAUUUCUAUUCCUAUCACAUAGGAUGCCCCAUCCAUAUAUUUAAUUUCAAAAUUCUUAGAGAGAAAAUCUAUAGUCUCACGCAAUACGCCUAAAUCAUUAACAGUAAGUAGAAUAUCAUCAACAUUAAGGACUAAAAAUAUAAACUUGCUCCCACUAAUCUUUUGGUACAUACACCGGUCAACGAUAUUUUCCACAAAUCCAAAAGAUGUUAUGGUAUCAUUAAACUUUAUUUACCAUUGUCAUGAGGCUUGUUUAAGUCUAUAUAUUGACUUCUUCAGUUUACACACCACUUGACCUUUUCCUUUAGUUUUGAAACCCUCUGGUUGGUCCAUAUACACUUCCUCCUCGAGAUCUCCAUUAAGAAAGGUAGUUUUCACAUUCAUUUGGUGUAACUCUAAAUUAUAAUGAGCUACCUAAGCCAUAAUAAUUCUUAACGAGUCUUUCUUUGAGACCGGUGAAAAGGUCUCUUUAUAAUAAAUGCUUCCUUUCUGAGUAUAAUCAUUUGGCAACAAGUCUGACUUUGUAUCUCUCAAUAUUGUCAUUUGAAUCGCGUUUGAUCUUAAAAACCCAUCUACACCUGAUUCUUUUAGAACUUUCUAGCAAUUCAACGAGAUCCCAGACUUUAUUGUAUUCCAUGGAUUUUAGUUCUUCCUUCAUGGCAUCAAUCCAUUUGUCAGACUCAUUACUUUCUAUGGCUUGUGAAAAUGAAACUGGAUCCUUAAUAAGACCAACGUCAAAAUCUGACUCCUGCAAAUAAACCACGUAAUCAUCCAAAAUAGCUGAUUUUCUAACUCUUUGAGAUUUUCUUAAUGGUAUUUCUAGUGGUUUAUUUGUGUUAGAUAUUUGUGAGUUAGUUUUUUCAUGAAGUGUUUCAUUCAAAUGUUGCUCAGUGUUGUCAAAGUGUUCUUCAGCAACUGGAACAAUAUUUGGUAUUUGUGAGGAAGUAAGCACAUUUUUGGAUAAUAGAAUAUUGACCCUUACCUUUUUAAUUUCCACACUUUGCUUUUCAACACUCCUACUAACUUCACCAUUCACAAUGAAUCUUACAUUAUCGGUUUCUAUAAUUCUCGAACUAUGGUUCGGACAGUAAAAUACAUACCCUUUAGAUUUCUCUGGGUAACCAAUAAAGAAACCACUUACUGUUCGAGAAUAUAAUUUCUUUUCUUGUGAAUUAUAAACUCUAGCUUCCGCUAGGCAACCCUAAACAUGCUGGUGACUUAAAGGUUUCCUUCCUGUCCACAGUUCAAAACGGGUCUUUGGAAGUGCCUUACUAGGAACUCUGUUUAAUAAAUAUAGGACAGUUUUAAAAGCAUACAUCCACAAUGAUUUGAGUAAUAAGGAAUUACUUAUCGUGCUCCUAACCAUAUCUAUAAGUGUUCGAUUACGCCUUUCUGCAACACCAUUUCAUUGAGAUGUUCCUGUCAUAGUAUACUAUGCACAUAUGCCACGUUCCUCCAAGAACUUCGCAAAUGGACCUGGACAUUGUCCUGAUUUAUUUUACUUUUCAUAAUAUUCACCACAUCUAUCUGACCUAAUUAUUUUCACCUUUCUAUCUAAUUGCCUCUCAACCUUAUUAACAAAUACCUUGAGAGUAUCUGUUGCUUGAGAUUUUUCUUUCAGCAAAUAGAUGUAUCCAUAAUGUAAUCAUCGAUAAAGGUGAUAAAAUAUUUCUCUCCAAUAAAAGAUGGAACAUCAAAGGAACCAUAAAUAUAGGUGUAUAUAAUCUCAAGAAGCUGGGUGCUUCUUGUGGCACCGUUCUUACUAUGCUUGGUUUGCUUUCCCUUAAUGCAAUCCAAACAUAUAGUAAGAUCAGUAAAAUUUAGAUUCGGAAGAGUCUCAUUUUUUACUAAUCUUUCUAACCUUUCUUUGGAUAUAUGACCCAAACGUCUAUGCCACAAGUAAGCAGAACUUUCAUCUAAUGAACUACAUUUAAUUAUAUAAACCAUUACUAAGAAAACCAGAACCAUAAAAAAUAGCAUUUUUAUAUAAAUUGAAACAUCCAUUUCCAAAUUUUUAAAUCAAAUCCAAAAACAUCAAGUCUUGAAAGAUAAAUAAAAAACGGAAGGUAUAUAAAGAGUUUGUAAUAGAUCAAGGUGACGUCCAGUCUCGAUGAUCAAACGAUAAGUCCAUAUUCCUUCAAUUGGAGUAUCCUUCCUUGUUACAAAAACGGCACAUAUUUGCCUUAUGUUCCUUGUUAGCAUCUUGUUGAGCUUUAGUAGGUGCUUUCUUCUUCUAAAACUUGUUGGCCUUCACUUUAAGUUCUUUACCAGCUCCUUGACCCAUGAGGUUAAUUGAAUGACUCCCUUGUUUCUUCAGCCUUGACUCAUACUGAGUAAGAAUACUGGACAAUUCACUAACAUUCUGCUUAUCCUUAAUAGUGUUAUAGUUAAUUUGAAAAGGUCCAUACUCAGGAGGUAACAAGUUCAGAAUAAACUGAACCAAGAAGCAGUCAUCCACAUCCCCAAGGUCUGAAGUCUUGUUGCAAUGUUAGUCAUCUCGAUGAUAUGAUUUUGCAUACUACGCGACCCAUCAAACUUCAUUGUCAUGAGUUCAGCCAUUAGUGUACCAUCGAGAGAUUUAUCUCCAUAACGAAAACGUUCACCCAUCAAACUUCAUGGUCGUGAGUUCAGCCAUUAGUGUACCAGUGAGAGACUUAUCUACAGAAGAAAAUGUUCUACCACAAACUUCAGGUAUUCCCUGACACUUUCUGUUUGUGGAAUAGUACUCUUAAUGUUGUUGGCAAUAUUCAUUCGCAUAAACAUAAUGCUUAGUUGUUAGAGUGUUCCCAUGCUUUAUGGAAAAACUUCUCAUCCACACUGCUCGAAUCAAUAAUGGAAGCAUGCUUAUCAUUCAGCAUAGCCCAAUCAAGAUCCAUCACGCCUAAGUGGAACUGGACUUGUUCUUGCCAUUCAGAGAGGUUCAUUCCAUUGAAUACAGUAACGGACGAAGCAAGCGAAUGAAAAGGAAUAGCUACAAAAUAGAUAAUACAUGCUCACAAAUCAAUAUGGAUUUAACAAAAUAGUUAAAGCAUAUUGCAAUUCUCCCUCGGAUAGAUACUACGACACACUAUUAUAAUUUAAAUAUCAUUUGGUCUUUAAUAGGUAAUUGAAUAUUUUUUAAUGAAAUAUAUAUGCCAUCUUUGGACAGACAAUAUAUAUCUAACUAAGAAUAUUAAUUUACCUCAUUUUAUUCAGUAUUCAUAGAAUAAUUUAUUUACCUUUGGGUAAAUCCUUAAGUUUUAGCAAUAGUGAAAAUUAAUUUAUCCACUAAUUUAUAUUAUAGGCAUUUCAUUAAUUUUAUGGAUAAACUAUAAUUUUAUGUAUGCAUAGUUUCAUAAACAAAUUUAGUUUGACCACUUUUAUACUAAUAAACUAUAUAACAUAAAUGCACACACAAAAUAGAGAUCAUAAGAUUUUAUACAUGUGAAUACUUUAAAUAAUCUAGUUUGGUUACUUUGAUGACUAACAAACUAUAUAUACAUUAAUCACAUACAUAAAAUAAGCAAUAAAUAGCUUCACAACUUAAGAAUUCAAAAUAUUAUAAGAGACGAGAAGCUAAAUUAAAUAUCUCCACAACAAAUACAUAAUAAAGUAAUCAUUUUUUUUAUUUUUUUAUUUUGAUAAAAUAAUAAUUUUGUGAAAGAUAUUCCAUAACCUAAUUCCUUUAAAAACGUUUUACCAUUAAUUUGUUUUAAGAGUGUUUUCAUACUUUUGUCGGUCAAAUCAUUGUCUGAAUCUAAAAAAUAUCACCAAUAUCACAUUAAGCUUGUACGGAUCAGACUUGAAAGAAAAUUGAAAACAAAAUUUCAUAUAAUUUUUGUCAUUAUAGAGUCUUAUGAUUCCCGUUUUAUGGGAACUGCCACGACCAACGGAAAACAUUCUAUCUUCAUCAACCUUGUCACUUUCAAUCAAACUUCUUUUCCUUUUGGAAAGUGAAGUAGAGAAUUCUUCUAUACCCCCUUUUAUAAACUUAGGAAAUGUUAAAUCCUACCUACACCAUCACUAUUUUGAAACACAUGUCGUUGCCUUCUCAUUAUCAUUGUAGCCAAUGAGAUCAACAAUUGAUCAAAGACACACCAUGUUAGUUACUGUAUCCAAGUUAUUCUUUGUAUCCAAGUUCAUCCUGAGUAAUAGUACAACAAGAACAAUCACCAAAGCCACCAGACAGCUUUGUGAUACCAAUGAAGCAAGAUGAGCUAUUCAAUGAAACUCGUAUUGUAAAGAAGAAGAAAAAGACUGAUUCGGAAAGGAUGGUCGAGCCUCGACUAUAUACAUAUAAGUUUUUUACUUUUCAUUAAGUAUUUUGAUUUACUUUUAUCUAAAUUUUGAAAUACUAAUUCAAUAUAUUUUUUCAUAUAGGUUCGCUUCACAAAUGACGUGGGGGAAUUCAUACGCAGUCAAUCAACUAAUGGUUUUUCAUAUAGGUUCGCUUCACAUCUAACGUGGGGGAAUUCAUACGCAGUCAACCACCUAAUGAAUCGGGCAAGUCAAUCUAGCUUUCGGAUGAGGAUGCUGAAAGAAUACUCCUUGAGUACUUUAUAUACUUUGAACUAGACAAAAAAACUUAGUUCUAUUGUGUUAGUUCNNNNNNNNNNNNNNNNNNNNNNNNNNNNNNNNNNNNNNNNNNNNNNNNNNNNNNNNNNNNNNNNNNNNNNNNNNNNNNNNNNNNNNNNNNNNNNNNNNNNNNNNNNNNNNNNNNNNNNNNNNAAAAAAACUUAGUUCUAUUGUGUUAGUUCUUUUUAGUUCGAAUGGGCUUGUAAUAAGCGUUAACUUAGUUUUGUUAGCUUAAUGUGUUAGUUCUAUUGAAUUUUAUAUUUUGUUGCCUUAAUUGUUGUUGUUGUUGGCAUAAAAUGCCUGUUUUGGAUGUUUGGUUAGCUGGUAGGUGGUGUAGCUGCCAAAACAGGCAGUUUCUGCCAAAAAUAUACCAAGAAAAGCGACCAACUUGGUUCUCUAUUUGGUCGCUUUUCACUUUUAAAAAUAAUUUUCUGGGCAAUAGCGACCAAACUUGGUCGCUAUUUAACCAGAUUCCCAAAAGAAGUGACCACACUUGGUCUCUAUUCCAUUAAAAAAAUACCUUUCUGAAAAUAUAGCGACCAAAGUUGGUCGCUUAUCUUUAAAAAAUAAAUAAAUUCUUGAACUUUGGUCUCUAUUGUCCAGAUUAAUAAAAAACAUAUUUUAUAUUUAGAGAACAAUUUUUGUCGCCUAAUUUAUAUUAUAAAAUUUUUAGAGCGACAAAAGUUGGUUACUAUAGUCAAAACUCGGAAUAUUUGUCCCUUUUAGCUUAGAGAUCAAAGUAAUUAGCGAUCAAUUUUUGUCCCCAAAUAAAAAGGACCAUCAAUAUAGUUACCAGGCAUUUUUGAUUGCUUUUUAAUUACUUCUUUGGUUAUAAGAACCGUUUUUUUUUUCUCGAAUUUCUAGUAGUGAAAGCAUAUGUAAGCUGCCCAGCUAUUUCUUUCAAUCAUUUUGUUAUUUUUUGGAUAACACUUUAUUCGUAUAAGAUAUUUGUAUCAAUUCAAUAGAUUCAUGAUAUUUAUCUUCACAGGCACCACAACAAAGAAAUCAUUUGCCAACAAGAUGUAGUGAGUUCUAGUCUCCCCAAGAGCAAGGUUGGAAGUUCUUGGAGGGAAGGAUGCCGCAGAUCUAUUAGGAAACAGCCUCUAUAUCCAAGAGUAUGGGUAAAAUCUGUGUACAUAUUAUCUUCCCCAGACCCCAGAAAAUUGGAUUAUACUGGAUUAUUGUUGUUGUAUUUUGCUAGUGGUGUGGGUUUGUAAUUAUACUUUGGUGAUAAGUAAAAUAAUUUAAUUACCAAGGAAAAAAUAUAUUGGACAUGUUUGAUCCAUCUGUUAACAGUGAUAUAAAAGUAAUGUAUAAAAUUUAGCAUCUCAAAGGAAGUUGGCGGAAAAAAAAUAUUAAACGUGUCAAGGGCCUGAAAUUAAUUCUUUAUGUAAAAAUAAAAAUAAAAAUGCAAAAUAGAAUUAUCCAAAAACCAACAUCAAAGAAGGACAAGACAUGGUUUCUAUUUAAUGGUGCAACCUUCUAAAAUUGACACAAUUUGGUUUUUGUAGUUAUCAUAAAUCAAACAAGAUCUCGCCAAUAAUAACAUGACAAAAUGGACCCCAUGAUCUCAUUGUCUUUCAUCUCUCAAUUUAAUAAAGAAAAUGACUCCAAUGGUUGCCAUUUGUCUCUCAACACCUUCUUUCACGUUUCCCAAUGUACGAGACGUGCUCAGUUAUUUUUAAUGUAAAAAUUACUUAAAAGCGAGUGUUCAAUUAUUAUAUUUAUAUAAAUCACCAAUUUUUCGUUACAAAAAAUAGUGUUGGCACCAAAAGUAAUAAGCGCUUGAACCAGGGGCAAAGCCCACCUUUUACUAAGGGUGCCCAGUUGAUCACCUAUAGAUAAUAAAUUGCGUCAAGAAAAAAUAAAAUUAAGACCGAAAAAUAUUAUAAUAAUUAUGAUAUUUGAUUUCGAAUAUUUGAAUUUAUAAUUUUUAUGAAUUCUUUGAUUUUUUUCAAUAAAAGCAAAUUCAAAGGCCUUUGCACUUGAUAAUGAAUAUGCAAUUGCUGAACUUGAUAGCUUGAAGCUUGAAACUUAUGGAUGAAUUCACAUUGUUUGAUCCACGAGCUUUUUCUUACUUCUUGUUAUAACUUUUGGUAUUUUUUUCUGGGUUAUGAAGACUCCUAUUUAUAGUUGUGGAAUGGAAGAGUUGUGAUAAGAACAAUAUCUUUCCGACGAAUCAAAUUAAAGUGUGACAUGACCGUAUUUGAUUGGCCAGAAUAUGUUACUUGCACAUGUGUCGCGAUUUCAUUAGCAUUUUAAUGUGACUUGACAUGUGUUGUCUUUUGGCAUGUGGCAUGAUCCUAUUGACUCUUCCGUUUGACUUGGCGUGCCACGUCAUAUGAUACGUGGUACCAAACUGGACCUCUAGGAAGAUGACAUCUUGAACUUAAUAAAGUGGGCUCAUCUGCCCAAUUUAAUAGGUUAGCCUAAUAACUUAAGACUUAUUUAUUUAAUCUAUAUAUAUUAAAUUUAUAUAAUUGAUUUAAUUAUAUUAGUUCAUAAUACUUAUUUAAAUUAAUAUUGUUUCAAUUGUAUAUUAAAUUUAAAUUCAAUAAAUUUUGUAUACCUACGAGGCUACGAAUACCCUAUAAUUCAAGGAUUGUUUGGGAUUUAGACAUAAUAAUCGCUUGAAGUUCUAUAUACCGGUAAAUGCGUCGGAUCAAUUUAGAACUUUUAGCAGAUGCAUUCCCCUAAUCGUAGACCGUGUAACUUAGUCUAAUUCUUUUAUUUUAUUUUGAAAUUUUCAUCUUCCUAUUACCAGGAAAGAUGCUUUCCAACCAAACAAUUUGUUGAGCCGCCUUAGCAGUUUAAAUUCUUUUUGAGAACUGAUUUCCGUGAUUCCCACGUCGGCAAUACGCUAUAACAAGUCAUCUAUAAAGAUCUAUAUAAAGUCAUAUGAUCGUUUUUGUUGAGCAUUAAUUUGCAGUAUUUGCAAGUUAUUUAAGUCUAAUUUUGUGACUCAAAAACAUUAAUACAAAGGUAAUUUUUCUUUGUUAUACUUUUCUUUCUUUAUUAUCCUUUUUGGCUUUUUGUAGGUCAACAAGAAGGAUGUAUUCUAAUUUAACGAGAUGAUCCAUGUAUGAAAUAGAUAAUAUUAGGGUGUGAGGGGUUGAGUAUUCAUUCAUGUCCGAAUAUCGGAGAGAUUACUCUCAUGGUACGACUAUCGGAGAUAUUACUCUUAAUGUGGCUCGACUACCGUAGAGAUUGCUAUCAAUGUGGUCCGACUAUCGGAGAGAUUACUCUCAAAAUGACCGACUACCGGAUUGAUUACUCUCAAUAUGGCUCGACUACCAGAGAGAUUACUCUCAAAAUGACCUGACUAUAUGUGAGAUUACGCUCAAUGUGGCUCGACUACCAGAGAGAUUACUCUCAAUGAAAAUUAUAGUUCCUUUUAAGGAUAAACCCACGAAACGGCCAACUUAAGGUGCAAAGGGACUUAUAUGUCCACCUUAAGAUUGGAAAGUAUAGUUUCCUUUUAAGGACAAACCCAUGGAGAGGCCAACUUAAUGUGCAAAGGGACUCAUAUGUCCACCUUAAGAUUGAAAAAUUAUAGUUCCCUUUAAGGACAAACUCACAAAGAGGCCAACUUAAGGUGCAAAGGGACUCAUAUGCCCACCUUAAGAUUGGAAAAUUAUAGUUCCCUUUAUGGAAAAACCCGCGAACAGGCCAACUUAAGGUGCAAAGGGACUUAUACAUCCACCUUAAGAUUGAAAAAUUAUUAAGCUUCAACUCUAAGACUUCGUGGAUUUGAUGACGUCAACUUGAACACUUGAAAUACUUUGAAGAUUUGGGGACUUUGCAGACUUCAACUUGGAGACUUGGAUGGCUUAGAUAUUUCAACUUGAAGAGUAGCGAAUGUGAAGACUUCAACUUGAAGACCGAUAGACUUGAAGAUAGAUGGACUUGAAGACUUCAACUUGGAGACUUCGAUGGCUUAAAUAUUUCAGCUUCUCUUUUGCUAUACAUUGUCCGAAUUUUAUCUUAGUCGCGCAGUUUUCAACUUUACAUGUUUGUAAAAAAAGAUUCAUAUCUUAUCGUGAGAGAGUUCAAAUAAUGAACUGUUUAAUUUCUCAAAAAUUAGACUUCAAUAGCUAAGAUAUAUCCAAAACUUAGAAUCAAACACCUUCAGAAUCACCCCAGAUAAUAUUUUUUUGAAACCAACUUUAAAUUCCACCAUGUAGAAAAUUUCAGAUUUAUGUAGUCUCACGAAAAAAUUAUAUCUUGGUGUGGGAAAGUCAGAAUCACGAACCGUUUGAUUUUUUAGAAACUUAACUUACAUAUUAUAACAUAUCUAAAAUGAAAAACUUAAUUCCUUAAUGAUAGUUUCAGAUAAUAGUUUGAAAUAAAUACUAAACUUUGACACCGCGACGAUUUCAUAUUUGCACGAUUUUAUCAAAACUUUUGUAUCUUUAUGUAGGCAUGUCGAAAUCACGAACUGUUUAAUCUAUUAUAAAAUAACUUUAAAAUAUAAAACAUAUCCAAAAUAUAAGAUUUAAUAUCUUAAGAAUAGUUCAUAUGAUAGUUCGAAGUUGACUUUGGUUUCUAAUUUGCCGACAGUUCCAAAUUAGCGCGUCUUCACCAAAUUUUUGUAUAUUGGUGUGGGAAGCCUCGAGAUCGCAAGAACUUUUUAAUUUUCAAAAUUUUAAAUUCAAGAUCUUCAUUCUUACCAAAUGUCUUGGGCUUAAGUGUCACUGAAUUUGAAACGCCGUGAGGGCUUGCCAAAUAAAACUUGAAGGUUUGGAUAACAAGAAGGCAUAACGAAUUCCCGGACAUUAAUACUAGGCAGCCUUCUGAAAGAUAUUAAUCAUUUUAUUGAAGAUACUAAUUUAUCAUAGCGGAGGCCCCCUUUAAAUCAAAUGGGAUCCAAAGUUUAACAGAAGAAUGGCAUUUUAGCUCAAUUUUCAAGUGACGAUUGAAUGAACUACAGUCCAUGGUACUUUAUUCGAAUAACAAUUAGGCGAUUAUAUAUCUUUUAAACUUAUGAGACUGAACUAAGAAUGAAACUCUAAGCUGCCUACGUACCUCGAUGAAGAGGUUCAAGUCAUACCCUAGUUCAGAAUAUGUGGAUUUUAUUUUUAUUUUUUAUGUCCUAACUUUCGCCUAGGCUGCCUCUUUUGAGGUAUUCAACCUAGUAGACCCUUUUUUUUGUGGUGGGCCAUAAACAAUUUAGACUUAUGAGGUCCAAGAGUGUAGGAACAUGUAGUUUAGGCUCAUGUAUCAGUGUGGUAACUUCAAGGAUAAUACUUCUUCAAAAACUUGCCAUUGAUAGAGCUGAUUCUCAUGCCAUCUACAUCAACUAGCUUGUAAGCCCCACUUGAAUAAGCUUCUUGCACGACAUAUGGCCCAUCCCAUUUUGAAAUGGACUUCCCUAUAGGUUUACGGGGAGUAAUAAUGGGUUUUCUUAUGGCAAGUACUUGAUAUCCUAUUUGAAAGGAUCUUGGGUAAACUCUUUUAUUGAAGGCGCGAGACAAUCGAGCUUGAUAAUAUUUGAGACUCUUUUGCGCUUCCAACAUUUUCUCAUCAAGAGCCUCCAACUCUAAUAAUUGAAGUCGAGCAUUUUCUUCAUCAAUUAUGCCUUCUUGAAUAGCUAAUCAUAAUGAAGGUAUUUGACGCUCGGGUGGCAAGACAAUUUCAACUCCAUAAACGAGUUCAUACGGCAUCGCUUGUGUUGGUGUACGGUGAGUUGUCCUAUAUGCCCAUAGAGCUUCCUACGUACGGUCAUGCCAAUACUAUUUGGAUUUGGAGAUGACUUUCUUUAACAAGUUGCAUAGAGUCUUGUUGAAUGUCUCGGCUAGACCAUUGGCGGCAGCAUUGUACAUAGAAGAGUUAUGUUGCUUGAAGCUAAAGAGUUCACAAAUCUUGUUCAUUAAUCUACUGCCGAACGGCUUGCCAUUAUCCAUUAUUAUGUAACAAGUAAUGCCAAAGUGAUAGAUAAUAUUUACUCAGAUGAAACUUGCAACAUUUUCCUUCUUUACUUCCUUAAGAGCAACAACUUCAGCCUAUUUUGAGAAGUAGUCAGUUGCAACCAAGAUGUAUAGGUGCCUACUAGAGGACUUUGGCAUUGGUCCAACAAUAUCCAAUCUGAAGCAUCAAACGGCUAGGAUCAACAGUCGGGUGCAACAUUUCAGGAGGUUGAUGAAUAAAAUUUGCAUGGAAUUGACAAGCCUUGCCUCAUCGAGCAUAGUCUAAGCAAUCUUUUACCAUUGUUGGCCAAUAAUAUCUCAUCCUUUUUAUAUGGAAGUGAAGCUUUGGUCCAGACUAGUGGGACCCACAUACCCCAGAAUGUGCCUCUUGCAAAGCUUGGAGUGCUUCUUCUUAUCCUAAGCAUCGCAAGAGUACUCCAUCGAAUGACCUUCUGUAUAGAUUAUCUUCGUAGUAAAGGAAGCGAAGUGCAUGAUGACGGAUUUCAGUACUUCUCCUUGGAUUUUCUGGAGGUAUCCCAUAACAUAAGUAGUCAAUAAUAGGUUGUUCUCACUCUUCUUUCUCAAAUUCAGAAUCAGCGACAAGAUGCUUGAGUUUAUUUUUACACCUUCAGCCUCAUUUGGUGGCGGUACUACCCAUUUUAGGCAAAUAGUAACUUGUGUCUGAUCAGACAGGGCUAACAAUGAAGCUAGGGUAGUUAAAGCAUCGGCCUUUUUAUUUUUUUCAUUGCCACAUGCUGAAUAGUCACAUCACGAGCCAUCCCAUUAAUUUUUUUAGUGUAAUCAUGAUAUGGGCGUAGUUCAAGCUUCUUGACCUUGUAACUACCUAAAAGUUGAUUGAACACUAACUGGGAGUCACCAAAGACUUGCAAUUUCAAUUACUUCAUAUCAACGGCCAUUUCAAGCCCAAGUAUUAAUGUUUGAUACUCAGCAACAUUGUUGGAACACAGUUGUGUCAAGGUGAAGAAGUAGGGCAAGACUUCACCUUGGGAAGUGACAAAUACUACACCAGCACCAGCUCAUCCAUGAUACACAACACCAUCAAAGUACAUCUUAUAUGGAGGUUGAACUUCAAAGACUAUUGCGUCCUCAUCGGGUAGUUUGUCAAUUAGCUCCCAGCCAUCUGGUAUCAGAUGAUCUAUUAAGAAGUGUGCCAAUGUUUGUCCUUUUACAUCCUUUUGAGGGAUGUACAAAAUUUGGAAUUGUUGAAAUUGGAGGUACCAUAUCGCUAAUCGAUCACUAAGAAUAGGUUUUGACAUCACAAACUUGAUGGGAUUUGCUUUAGAAACAAGAUGGACAACAUGAGCUUGAAAGUAGUGCUUCAACUUUUAAAUUGAGAAGACUAGCGCCAAACACAACUUUUUCACUUGGUGAAUAAUUCUGCUCGUUUGGUUUCAUCAUACUGCUCAAGUAGUAAAGAGAGUUUUCUUUCCCCUUACUGUUUUCUUGGGCCAACAGUGCUCUAACAUACCUUUCUUGCGCCGCAAUGUAUAGUAUCAAUGGCUCUCCAGGUAUAGGAGCUGCUAAAACUGGAGACUUCAUCAAGUAGGUUUAGAUACUUUCAAAGGCCUUACUACAAGCUUGGUACCACUUGAAAGGAACUUCUUUCUUCAUGAGGCGACUAAAUGGUUGGCACCUCCCAGCUAGGUUUGAGAUGAAACUUCUAAUGUACGCUAGUUUUCCUUGCAGACUUUUCAAUUCAUGAAUAUCAUGAGGCUCACGCAUUUUCAAAAUUACAUCUACUUCGGCUCGAUCAAUUUCAAUCCUUCUAUGUUGAACAAUGAAACCAGGGAACUUUCAAGAAGUAACUCCAAAGGCGCAUUUCAAUGGAUUCAUCCUAAGUUGGUGCCUCUAGAGCAACUCAAACACCAUUCUCAAGUCUUUCAAGUGGUUGCCCUUCUCUCUUGAUUUUACCACCAAGUCAUCAACACAGCAUUCAACAUUCUUAUGGAGAAGAUCACAAAAAUAUUACGCAUAUCCCUUUGGUAAGUAGCACCAGUAUUCUCCAAGCCAAAAGGCAUUACCUUGUAGUAAUAAAUACCAUUGGGGGUGUGAAAUGCAGUAAGCUCUUCAUCUUUUGGUGUUAUGCGAAUUUGAUUAUAGCCUAAUGAACUAUCCAUAAAUGACAUUGCCUCUUACCCAGUAGUAGCAUCGACCAUUAGCUCUAGAAUAGAAGGCAGGAACUUAUCUUUCGGGUACGCAUUGUUGAGAUCCCUGAAGUCAACACAUACUUGAAUCAGGCUAUUUUUCUUCCUUAUAGAGAAAACGCUUGAAACCCAUGUCGGGUAUUUAACUUCACUAAUAAAGCCAGCUUCGAUGAGUUUUUUAACUUCGGUUUCAAUCAAGGGAACCGUUUUAAUCAAUGGAACCAAGUCCGGCCUAAAGCGCCUUUGGGCUUGUUUAAUAGGGAUAGCACCAUUCUUGUUGACAAGGUGAUGGAUUGCUACUUUCGGGUCCAAGCUAGGGUUGUAACUCCAAGCAAAGACAUCCAUGUACUCCCUGAGUAACUCAAUAUAAGUGCUUUCUUCAUCAAUUUCUAAUAAAACACUUAAUGUGGGUCUUGGUUCCUCAUCGGUUCCAAGGUUAACUUCUAUUAAGGCGUCAACUAUUGUCUUCACUCCUUCUUUAAGUUCAGGUGUAGCGUCUUCCGCAUAUUUAUCUUCUUGAGAGUCCCCAUCUUUGAAUGAUAUGUGAUAACACGAUGAAACAUUGUCCAAUUUCUCGUAAUCCUCCAUUAGAGAUAAAACAUCAUGCUUGCUUUGUGCAGUAACAUGAUACGAAGAACCCACACUUUCUUCGUCUUCAUCAUGUUCUUUAGUGUAGACCAUAAUGUAUGGCUUCACCUUAAAUACUUUGUCACACGAAACCAUGACUUUUGUUUGUCUCUUCAUUCUAGACGGAACCAAACUUUGGAAAUAUUUGGAGAUCUUCUAAAUUUUGGGCGAAGCAGGUGUUCUUGUAUUUCAAUAACUUCUCUAUAACUUAUUCUCAUUCUUUAAUGGACCCAAUCUCUCAAAUACAGAAGUUUUCAUAAUUUAUUUUCCAAGUUGAUCAAAGACAGAAGGCAUGUUAGAAGCAACAGAUUCAUCUUCUACAAUGAUAUAAUUACUACUCGCCUUUCUUAUUGAGAUGUACACUGGUGACGAUUUCUUGUAUCCUAAACCUUCACGUGGUUGCCUCGUUGCAGCUUCUGAUGGGAGCUUCCCUAUAUUUGAUUGCUCAUUGGGAUUGUAUCCAUCUUUUUCAAAUAGCUUGUAAGCAUUAGGGUCAAAACCUUCAUCUAUUUGCUUUAUAGGGAGUGCCACAUUCUGCAAACGAUUUUGGAAUACAAACCCUGCAAGUGGCUUCGAGGACAACUUUACUGCCUCAAUUCGUUUUACCUGAAGAGUUAACUCAGUUAGCGAAUUAGUUUUAAGAUUAGAUGAUACACCUUCAUUUUUCAUCCUUUUAGGGAUAUAUUGGAGUGUGUGACUUACUUUCUUUCCAUAAGACGCAAUAUCCCCUCUAUGAGAUUUAUUUGUGUUGGCGUGACCUCCUCAGUAAACACCUUGGCCUUACCAAUAGUCACCUAAGCUCUUUUAGUUAUGGGCUCGUCAUUCUUGUUUUUCAUGCCAUCAUCAGCUUUUAUCUCCUUCAGAAUGCGGUUCUUCAAGUAGAACUUUGCAUCGGUUAAGUGUGACUCUGCCUUGGUAAAGGGCUCAUCAUCAGCAACUAUCUUCUUCUUGACUUCACCCUCGUAGUAUUUUAAACAUUGAUGGUAGGUAGAUGGAACUACUUUAUUCUCAUGUAUCCAAGGCCUUCCAAGAAAGGCAUUGUAUGAAGUCUUCGCAUCAAUCGCAUGCAACCAUGCACUUGAUAUUAUAACUUCAAUAGUUAUUCCCAGCCUGAUUGCGUCUUUGGCUCUUUGCCCCCUUGGUUGAAUCAUUGGAUCAUCACACGACUUUCUGAGAGUUUGUUUAUGGGAAUACCAAGUUCCUUCACAGUGCGAAUUGGCAAAAUGUUCACUAAGGAUCCUCCAUCAAUGAAAAUUCGAUUUACCCUUUCAUCUCGCAUAUAGCCAACCAGGUACAAUGAGCGGUUAUGAAGAGUGUUACCUAGCAAAAGAUCGUCAACUGUGAACGUGAAUUUUUCCUCACAGGCAUUAACUUCUUGAGGAGUGGACUCGAUAAGCUUUUUCAAAGAUGGUGCCAACAGUAGGUCAUACUCUUUUCUUUCCAUUCGUCAGUAUGGCAAGAAGACGAAUCAAAACCCCCAUAGGAAAUCUUCGUGCUGAACCAACUUGGUGAAAACUCGUCCAAGGUCAUUGGAUGUUGUGGCUUUGAGGGUGGUGCACCUCCACUUUUGCUUUGUUUACAUGCUUAACUGGAUUCCAUAUCCUAGGUCUUUUCACUAUUAUUUUCCUUGUUGGUUGUUCUAUUGAUCCUUUUCGUGGGAUCCUUUUGUGGCACCUACGAAGAGUCACCAACAUCCAACCUUCAUCAUCCUCAGGUUAACUGUCUUCAACUUUGUUAUUCUCCAGUAACUCUUCAUCUUUACUUUCUAUAAAAUAUAUAAUUCGUCUGGACUAAAUGAGCCAAAUGUGAUAGAGACUUGGUUUGCGAUUGCUUUCUCAUCUUCAAGCAUGAUCUUCUUUUUGUGAGCCAAGUCCAUGACUUUAUCCUUGAAGAAAAAGCACAUCUCCAGAGGGUGGCUCACAAGUUUAUGGUAUUUGCAGUAAUUUAGGUAAUUUGUUCUCCUAGCUUCAUUUGAUCGCUUCAUCUCCGGAAGCUUAACGAGUUUUAACUCGAGGAUUUCUUCAAAAAUAAAUGGCAUGUCAGAAUCCAUAAAUGGGUACUCUUUCUCUUGCAUUUCUUUUGGAGUCAACGUUCCACUUGGCUUAUCUUGAAAUGAAGUGGAUUUCAUAAUCUCCUUCUUGCUCACCGUCGUCGUGAAUUUCACAAGUGAUGUGUUGGCAUUCAUAGCUUCUUUAUUUUCAAAUCUUGGUACAAACUUGCUCAAUUUCCUGACUUCUUACUUGUAGUUCCCUUUGCGAGGCUUGUAGAUAGGCAACCUUUCAUUUCCAAUAGAGGUCAUGCUCAACUCCAUGUCAUGGGCACGAGUCACGAGUUCUUCAAAUAUGCCAGGAUUGAUACCUUGUAAGAUGUAGCGUAGUCCUCUAUACAUGUCUUGGAUACACAUCUCCAUGCCCAAAGCUUCACUAAUCAUGUCUUUGCAAUUGAGGCUUGCCUUCCUCCAAUGAUUGAUAAAGUCGAUAACUGGUUUACCCUUUUGUUGAUGAGUAUUUGUAAGUUCUAUAAUACUCACAGUACGUCCCGUGCUAUAAAGGCGAUUGAGGUAUUCUUGCUCCAGUUGAUCCAAGCUAUCAACAGAUCCAACCUCGAGGUUCGUAUACUAAUAAAAAGAAUUUACUUUUAAUGAGCAGACACACUUUUGACGAGGUAAUCUCCAUAAGUCCCAACAUUGUUGUAUGUCUCAAUGAAGAGAACCACAUGUUGCUUUGGAUUGACUUUGCCAUCAAACUGUUGAAAUUUUGGAGGUUGACAGCCAGCAGGCAUCUUCAACAUAUCGAUCCUUGAAGUGUACGGUUUUGCGUAGGUAAAGGAGGACCAGGAAGCGACUUCAUAUUUGUUUUUUAUAGUCCCUUCAAUUAAUUUCUUUAGUUGAUUGAUUGGAACCAUCCUUUCCGAAGAGACUGGAAUUUCCUUAGUGGAAACAACUUGUCGUGGGGAAGGAUGAAUCUCUUGAACUUCUGGGAUUUUGCCAAGUGCAUGGGUAGAUUCUUCUUCCAUCAAGAUUCCCACCAUGUGUGUUAGCUUGUCAGUUCUAGCAUCUUGAUUUUGCAUGUAUUUGGUCAAGCCAGCGAUUUCUUCCGUCAAGUUUUCCAACUGCUCCUCCAUAAAUGAAGUGUUUGUCACCUUGUCUUGCAUAAUUGUUGUGGAUGAUGUAGAGUAGCAUGGAAUGUCACACAGAUUGAUCCUUGAUUAGAUCAUGCUAUGUGGUGUAAAUGGGGAGGAUCCAUUACUUGAAGUAUCAUCAUCUUCCUUCACAACAGAGUGCUUUGAUCCAAAGAGGUCAAGCAAAGCAAGAGUUUUUUUGAUCUUUCAGCAACAUCUCUUCCUCCUUCGGAUGCGUUUGUGGAAGAUCUUGCUCUUUUCGAGGAUGAAGAUCCAAAAAAAGGUCAUAUGUGGAUGACACUUAGGAUACUUGUUGUCCUAUCGAGCUUUCUAUGCUCUUCAUAACUAAUCCAAAUCUUCGAAAGGUAACUUCGAGUAUGUUUCCACAUCCACAUAGAACCUGGAAUUAGGAGUCUUAGUAGAAAUUGAACUGGAGUUGAUUUUCUUUGAAGCCACUUCGAUGUUCCUGGACUUUGGAGAUUGAAAAGUUGAGAUGAGAGGUAGAGAUUGUCCCACUAGGCAUGACAGAAUUUGUAGACAAUAAAUUGCAUCAAGAAAAUAAAAUCAAGACAAAAAAAUAUUGCAACAAUCGCAGUAUUUGAUUUCAAAUAUUUGAGUGUACAAUCUCUAUGAAUCCUCUUAUUCUUCUUUUCAAUAUUAAAUAAAUUCAAGGGCCUUUGCGCUUGAUCUUGAAUAUGUUGUUGUUGCCACGAACAAUAAUUUUGUUCUUGAGCUUUAACUUUAUAGCUUGAACUUAACCUUGAUUUGUUCUUCGUUCUUGAGUUUGAACUUGAUUGGUUGAAGUAUGAAACUUAUGGAGGAAUUUGCAGUAUUUGAUCCACGAGCUCUUUCUUGCUUCUUGUUAUAACUUCAAGUAUUUUUUCUGAAUUAUGAAGACACAUAUUUAUGGUUGUGGAUCGGGAGAGAGAAGUUGUGAUAAGAACGAACUCUUUCCUACCAAUCAAAUUAAAGUGUGACAUGGCCGUACUUAAUUGGCCAGAACAUUUCACUUGCACACGUGGAGCGAUUUCAUUAGCAUUUUAAUAUGACUUGGCAUGGCUUGUCAUUUUGACACGUGGCAUGAUCCUAUUGGCUCUUCCGCUUCACUUGGCGUGCCACAUCAUAUGACACGUGCUACCAAACUGGGUCCGAUUCAUAUUUUUCAUAGAGAAAUCUCUGGUCAAGGAUAGAACAAGAGCCGUUUUGCAUCAUAUCUAAGGGAUUCCUCGGUUCGGGCCGAAGAAGCAAUGUCACUCGAUCAUUAUCAAACUGACUNNNNNNNNNNNNNNNNNNNNNNNNNNNNNNNNNCUUUAUCUAAGGGAUUCCUCGGUUCGGGCCGAAGAAGCCGUCUAGGAAGAUGACAUUUUAGGCUUAAUGAAAAGUGCUACUUUAUGAACGGCGGAUUUGGUGUGGUGGCAUUAUUACUUUGCUUUAUUCUCUCAUCCUGCCUCUCUUUAUUAUUAUAUAACAUAUUUCAAUUUUUACCCUACUCUUUUAUAUAAUAGUUAUACUUCGCAUUCUAUUUUUUCUUAGUAAUAUUGCAAGUUUAUUCUUUAUAUUAUUGGUGUGUAACAUCAUGAAAAGACGUCAAAUAAUAUAAUAUAUUCAAAUAUUGUAUUCGUCAAAUAAUACAGUACGAUACAGUGUAAUACAAUACGAUACAUUAUGAUUAUGAAACAACACGUAACGAUAAUCCAAACAUAUAUAAAGAGCUCUACCUAGUAUUCCUGUUCGCCAAACAAACUAAUUCUUAGGUAAAAACAAAUUAGGACUACAGAAUAACAAAGGAAAAUUUCACAUUAGAACAAUUAUAAUAGGCUAAGAUUUAACAUUCAACUCCAAUAGGUUUUCAAAAUUACUAUUAAAUUUUUAACAAAGAUUUCUCAAGCUUUUAAAUUAAUUUUUGAAUAAGUAAUUGUGACCCAAAUAUUAAUUCAACAAACCAAAUUCAUUUGGAUGGUGAAAAUUAGAUUUUUAACAAGCUUAAAUAUGUGGGUUUAAAUUUUGAAUUUAUUUUUGUGAGAAAUUUGGAGCGGGUGUUAUUUAGACUUGUUAGAAAUAGUAUAAGGAGAUUGUAUAUCAAAUUUGAAGUCAUUUAAUGGAGAUUUGGACUGAUUUUGAACAAGAAUUGAAACUGAAAAUCGUGGAAGAAGUUCGUCUACAAUCACUUAUAUAAAGGUUUUAUAAAAAUGUAUAAUAGUGUAUAAGGUGUGCUUCUACACUCAUAUACACUAUUAUACAAGAUUAUACAUAAUUAUACAAAAAACUAAUUUUCGUCUUCUUCGUUGCGUCAUUUCUGAAAUUUAACUCAAAUCUUGUUCAAAUCUACUCCAAAUCACUUCAAAUUUAAAUUUUGGACUCCGUUUGAUAUUUUCAAUUAAUUGGAACAAUACCCAAUCCAUACAACUAACAAAUUAAAAAAAACUCAUUUUUAAAAGCAAAGCUUUGAAUGGUCUUCAAUGGUGGGCUCUUCAAUUUUCUUUCAUUGCAAGCAUGUGACACAAGAGGAGAAGUAGAAAAUACACAGCCUUUUAAAACAUAUGUAAAAGAUGUGAGAAGAAGAUAGGGUGAAGCAAUAAUUUUGAAAACAAAGAAUUAACUCCAUAAUUUUUAGAAUCAAUAGUUGUAAAAACACAUAUUUUGAAUUUGUAAGUGUUUUCAAAAUAUGUACAUUAUGAAUCAGGUGGGGUAAAACUUAAUAAUAUAAGUCAUUUUAUAAUAUGAAAUCAUAUAUAUAUAUAUAUUCUUUUAUUUUUUUCCAUAAUGAAGGGGUUUUGAAUACUUUUAAUGAAAUUACGAAUAAAUAUAGGUUUGAAAUUCGGCAUCAAAUUUCAGUUUGGUUAUUCGAUUAUGAAGCUUGAAAAGAUGCCAUUUGUUCAUAUUAUAGCAGACUUAAGGGUUGAAUUUUUUUUAAAAUUUCAAAUGAUUGACUACUUUGACAGAAAGUGGAAUCUUCAAAGAAUAACAGCACUAGUUGAAUAAUCCAAGAGUAGACUGAGUCAAUUUUAAUCUUUGGUAAUCAUGUUGAGUUGUCUCACAUCGGAGGGAUUUAAGGUCCUUGAUCUUCUUAAAUAGCUUGGACAAUCCUCACCUCAUAAGCUAGAUUUGGGGUUGAGUUAGGCCAAGGUCCAUUCUUAUCUUGGUAACAGAGCCAGGCCCAUCCCAAUUAUUGUUACCGAUGUUAGGCCCCUAUUUAUGUUGUCCACGCUCCAGAGAUCUGGGCGUGAGGGGGUAGGGGGGUGUUGAGUUGUCCCACAUCGGAGGGAUUUGAGGUCCUUCGUCUCCUUAUAUGGCUUGGGCAAUACUCACCUCAUAAGCUAGCUUUUGGGGUUGAGUUAGGCCCAAGGUCCAUUCUUUUCACAUUUAAUCAUAGCUUAUGAUCUUUUUAAUAUUAUGAACACAAAGAAGCUAUGAGACAAAGAGACUACUCUUAAUCUGUAUAUACUACUAAAGAGCCUUGGCACAAAGGUAGGAGUUUCUACAGUGUGACCGCUCUUGAAAAAAUAUGCAAGGUGAAGCUGCACAAAGUAGAGUCAACAUAGUC